UAAAACAAGAUCAAUAUCUUUGAUUUAAAAUUUUAAUGUCAUAUUACUAUAUUUUAUAAGAUUUUUAUUUUCAGCCGUUGAUUUUGAGCCCCUUCGUUCACUAGGCAAAUUAUAUCGUAAAAUCAUAAAAUUUAUUUUCUAGAUACUUCAAAUACUCUAGAUCAAGUUUAACAGAGCCGAUCGACGAUUCGAAAGUCGCAACAUCGAAAACGAGCUAGAAGCACGGAAGGUUUCGUGCUUCCGAUAGCAUAGUAGUCUCACUCUAUAUAUAUAUAUAUAUAUAUAUAUAUAUAUAUAUAUAACAACACGCACGCUACACCAUAAAUCAUAUUUGGUGGCACUUUUUUAGUGGCUCUUAUAAAAAAUGCCAGUUAUAAUUAGUUAUUAAUGACACUUUUAAAUAAAUGCCUUUAGUUAAUUAAUUAUUAAAUCUAUUUUUAAUUUUUUGAAAAGUUGUGAGGUCACAUCAAAAUUCUACCCAAAAAAAGUCGCCAGCAAGGCGGGAAUUUUUGACUUCGCGCUUAAGGAAAAAAAAAAACCCUCUUCGAUCGAAAAACCCUUUACGCGGUGGCCUAGUUCUCAUCCCAUCUUCAAAAAAAUCCCUUCGUCUUUGCUUCAAACCCGGCCUCCUUCUCCUCCUCCUCCUCGUCCUCCUCCUUUCGCUCUCACCUUCGCCUCGCCGCAAUCUCGUCUCUGCCCCCGAAGCGCCGACGUUGGAGGGAGGAGCCACGAUCUCGUCGCUCGCCCCGCCGCCGCUGCCGAGGGCUCCGAACCCUCGGUCGCCGCCGCCGAUGAUAAGGUGAAACAAUCGUUUAUGGAACCCUUGUUCUUUUAGGUCGAUUAGACCCUGAUAUGUGAAUUUAUGAGAUCUGUUUUAGUUCGAGAAGGGCUCGAUUUUGGCGGAUUUGCUUCUCUUGGAGUUUGCUUAGGUGACUCAGGAGAUAUGCAGGCUAAGUUAUCACUUUUUUUGUAUUUUACUGUUGUGGUUACAAGGAAAAAAAAAAAAUCGUACGUCCUUCAGAUUGUUACCAAUUUAGAUUCUUAAUAGCUUCACACUAGGUAAGGUUUUUCUCAAUAAUGACACAAAUAACAUUCAUUUGGAUGCAGCAAAUUUGGCGAUAUCGAUGAUGAGGAUCACUUCAUCGAGACUCUUACAAAUGAUGUUCGAGUGGUUGAUGCGGUGCCUGAAUUCAUAAUGGAGCGUUUUGGUGACAAUAUGAGUAAUGUAUUCAACUUCAAAAUAAAAGCUUGGUCUUCUAUUCAGUAUUACAAGGAUGCUGUUCUUCCAAAGCUGGUUGAAGAAAAGUGAGUCGAAAAUCCUAUUUAUAUGCCAUUUCCAGCUGUUACUUUCCUCAUUUCGAUUUAUGUGGAAAUUACUAGAUGAAGAUUUUGGCUUUGCUUUAUGUUAGCUUUUUGUCGAAGUUACUCUUUAGCUUAUGUGUAAUAAUCAUUCAACUCCUCAAACUUGUCUUUUUUUUAAAAAAAAAUAUAAUAAAAUAAAACAGGCUUAUAAGGAUUUCUCCUUUCGCAAAUCGGCUAUCAUUUGAUGCCCCUCCUGCCGUCCAACGCUUAAGAUGCUUGGCUAAUUUUGAAGCCUUGCGUUUCUCGAAUCCUAUUGCAACUUUUGGCUGAAAAGUUGGUUUCUCGAAUGAAAGAACGGAGUGUUGAUAACAAUGGCAAAUAUGUUGCAGUACAUCUUCGCUUUGAGGAGGUUUGUUUGUGUUUAUUUUUGUAAUAUUUACAUUCAUACCUCUGCAAAACCAUCUAUUGCACUUACAACCCUACAAAACCUUGAAUUUUGAUACAUGCACUCUAAAACCUUAAUAUCUUGCAUAUGUACCCUUCUACUUGUGAGAAUGCCCCUCCUUAGAAAAAGGAACUUUUUUUAUAAAAAAAUAGCCAUGAAUUGGAUGACUCCCAAACUUUUUUUCAUUUAGUUCUGCAUCCUUCUGCAGCUUUCAUAUUUUGGGUUACAUUGAGGAGUUGAGGACUUGAUAGUAGAUUUACCUAUUUUUCAGGAUAUGGUUGCAUUUUCAUGUUGCAUAUUUGAUGGUGGGGAAGCGGAGAAGCAGGACAUGAAUGCAGCAAGAGAAAGAGGGUGGAGAGGAAAGUUUACUAAACCUGGUCGUGUAAUACGACCUGGUGCAAUAAGAAUGAAUGGAAAAUGCCCACUUACACCUUUGGAGGUACAUACUUUCCAAUUUCUCUUCUUCUUCUUCUUCUUUAGAUUGCGUUACGCACGAAUGUGUCGGAAAUAAUCUUUGUCUCAUUCAAACUAAAAUAUUUUAGCAUAUCUUUAGCAAAAUAUUUUAUCUUUCUAGCUCUUAUAUAUAUCAUAAAUAAAAAAACGUGCAAGCCAUGUUUUAACAUUUUCUCUUAUAUAUAAGUUAAUAGUCUCUUAGCUUAUUUGAAAAGGAAUCUGUGAAUUGGAGACAACACUGUUUGUAAGCUGUAAGUUAACUAUACAGUGAGCAUUUGUGUCGAAAUUGUAAUGCUGUUCUGGUGAAUUCGGGAAAAUUCUAAACGAUGGACUAGGCACGUGCAUAUGAAUUGAGCAUAGUAAACCCAUAAGAUUUGCAUAAAUUGGCCAAUUUAAACUCAUGAAGUGGUAGUUACCUACUCUAUGUUGAUCAUUGUGCUAUAUAUAACUAUCGUUUCUAGAGUAACUUCAGUCAGGAUAUAGUGUAUUUAUGCAAGCUGAGACUGAUUCUUAAUAUCUACCGAUGUUUUUUCUUAGAUUUAAGUUAUAUUCAUAGUUCGCUCCUCCACUCCACUCCUCCACUCGCGUCGCUACGAUCGCGUCACCCUCACCCGCGCCUCACGUUUUAACUCCCUCUUCGACCCCAUCCUCUCCGCCUUCGCCGCUGCUUACUGGAAUAUUUCCCUCCUCGAUGUCGGCGAGCGCUGCUUCCAUUGCGGUGUGCUAGGAACAGUUCGUUCACCCCUUUGCAGGUUCUAGUUUGUUUAGAUUUUAUUGUUUGAUAUGUUUUUUUAAUGGGUUUGGAUUCAAUUUUUGUAUUAUUUUGAUGAAAAUUAAUGGAACUUAGCAAGAAAAACUUCAUGAUUUUUAUUUAUCGACAUAUUCUUCACCCGAAAUGUGUUGGAUUUCAUUGUCAUUUAAUUUUAUUUUGUUAACAAAACCUUAACUAGAGGUUGAUUUUAAGGAGUUCGUGGCGCAUUCGUCUGAUGUCAACUGUGUAACCAUCUGGAAGAACGCGAGGUGAACCUGUGGGCAAUUGGUAAACCAACGCCAUUAUUGGUGAGUCCAUGCUUGCUCUUUCUAUUUAUUUGUUUAUUUUCUCUAAUGUAUCUUAUUACACUCUGUGCUUCAAUUCCUGUGUGCUUCAGUUUCAAUUCCUUUUCUUUUUAUUUCUUGGAUCAUAGUAAACUAAAAUGAUCAAAUUUUAGUUAGUUGGUAGCUUAGAGAAACCGAAGUCUAUCAAGUCCUGGGUGUUUCCUUUUCAACAGUAGUUCUGAUUUGUUAAAGUGCUAAAAUGUGUGAUAAUUUAUUUGAAAUUCAUGCCAUGACUAUAAUUUCACAUGGUAAUACAGGUGUACAGAGGUUACAAAUAUCUUUUAUAUUGUUUUACUUUUUGUCUUUUAAAUGGUGUUUUCAUUCAUUAUGCUAUACAUGAUUUGGAUUACUUGAGUAGUUAGCUCCAACUUUUUCUCUGAUGAUUUUUUUAUGAAACAGAGUUUUACUAUUCAAGUAAUUUAUCUUUGAUACAAAUUUUUGUUAGCAGUGAUUGCAAAAUGUCCCUUGUUUUCUUCCUUUUUCAUCACUAGCAUUUGGAACUCCCAUGUUUUAAGCAAGUUUUAAUCAUCAGAACUAGAAAUAUUUUAGCUCUCAAUAAUGAAGUCAAUAAUGAAAAUGAAUCUGUUGUUAUUGUUGUGAAGAUCGUAAGGACUGUAGAGCAACAGGAGCUACUCUUUGAUUGCUGAAAGUAAGGCCUUUUGGGACAGCAAAAUAUCCUUUUUUUUAUUUGUCAAUCAUAAGCGGAAAGAGGCAGUAAAGAAACUUCUUAAUAACCUUUUGACCAGAUUAAGUAGAGUUUCUGUAGUGUUGGGACUACAUUACUAGCAAUCAAUCAGAUUCAAUCUUUUUUUUCUCUCUUCAUUUUUUAAAAAUUAUGAAGCUUGAGUUCGACUAUGUUUUUUUUCUCUUUGUUUUUUUAAAAAUCUGGUUCAUGUUUCAAUCUGGUAGGAGAAAGUUUAUUCUGUGUGUUGAUUGAGAAAAUGAUAAGCUCCUUUUCGUAGGAUUUUAUUAUCUAGAUGUAGGUUGUAGAUAGUAUACUCUGUUUCAUAGGCUAAUUUAUUUUUAUUUUUGUUCUAAUGCAGGUUUGGUUAUUAGUUAAGAAGAUGAAGUAACCUGUAUAACAAUUUGGAGACUUCAUUUCCUUUAUUUUGUCAAUAUUAAAAUGUGUACUUGGAGAAUAUUGAUAUUGUUUUGUUGUUGGGACUAAACUAAGUCUUUUUUUGUUUAUUAUGGAUAUUGAAUAUAUGAUACUUUUUAAAACUUUAUGAAGUUAUCAUUUUGUAUAUUCUCGAUUAUAUUUACUAAAAUGUGUACUUCAUUUUAUUCGAUGUCGACGUUUGUAUGUGUCUAAAUUUUCAUGACAUUUUGUGUUGACAUGACAUACUUAAUUUGGCUAAUUAAAUAAUCAUUUCGUUGGUAAUGUGUGAAUUAAUUCAUAUUCAUCUAAUUACAAUAUACGAUAUGCAUUAAAAUUUUAACCUUUUGCCGGCACUCUUUCUGUUAGGAUAAAUUCAAUUUUUUGUCGGCACUUUUUCCUGUCAGAAUAUCUAAUUGGGAGUAAUAAUUUUAAAUUUAUGGCCGGCAUUAACAAAUGCCUUUAAAGCUUUGCUGGUAGUAAAAAUUGUUUCUAAAAGAAAGAAAAGCCGACAGGAAUGAGUGCCGAAAAAGAGAAAUUAUUCGGCACUUAUGAGUGCCACUAUAUAUUUUUAUUAGUGGCACUUUAAGGUGCCGGUCAUUUAAUAUUUACCGGCAGUUUGUAAUAAGUGCCAGCAAAACAAUUACCGACCGAGUUUUAGCCAGCACUUGUGGGUGCCACAAACAACCGCCGGUAAAACUUUUUCCUGGCACUUUUCAUACUUUUCCUGGCUGUUUGAAUUGCCUCUAAAAGUUCCUUUUGGUGCAGCCGACAUUGAAGAAUUGUUUGUAGGAAAUUUUUUUUUUUCUCUUUACAGAAGAAUCGUUUGUAGAAAUUUUUUUUUUUCUCUUUACAGCUUGAUGUCUUGAUGUUCUCUCUUUUUUUUUAAUAUUUAUUUUGUCAUGCUUUGACUGUGUAAUACUUAAAUUUAUAACCAAGGGUUAAUGUUUAGAAUUGGUAUUCUAAACAAACUAAAUACAUAUACAAAUUUUUUUCCAAAAAAAUCAUAUAUAAAAGUAUUAUGAUUAGCACAAAAAAAAUUCUUUAAAUACUUAUUACAAAAAUAUUUCUAAAUUGGCAACCAAAUUGGAUUAUAUCAUAUAUAAUAGUAUUACGAUCAGGAUUGGAGGAAAAAAUAAAAUUUUAAAUUAUUCCCGACAAUAAAUUGGAUGCAAAAAAAAUAGUAUAUACAUAAAAAUUAAAUCAAAGAACUUACAAAAUCUGAGGCAAUCAAUCACAGAUCAACGGUACACAGAUAAACGGUACACAGAUAGUCAAUUUCCUGAAACAAAGUAAAAUUAUUCAGUAUUUUUUCAAAAAAAAAAUGAAAUUCAAACAAAAAUGAAAGGUAAAAACUAAAUCAGAAAAAAAAAUAGCACCAGCAGAGAAAUAGAGAGUUUUUACCGCAAAUAAAAAUUUUAAUAGAGGCAUAUUAUAUAGGCAAAAAAAAUAGCAUUCAAAGUAAAAUGACCCUUCGAAUUCAACAAAUACAAAUAUCAGUCGAAGAGAGCGUAAAGAAUGAAUCCGAACCAUUUUUGCACCUGGAGGGCGAUUAAUCGGCAGGAACGAAGCGCUGCUAACAAAAAAAGGCGCGACGGGAAGAAAGGCCGAGAAUGAACUUGACCCAAUUUUCUGUCUAGGAAGGACGUAUCAGGAGUCGAAGAGGCAUCUAGGGGGGCGAGCAGCAUUUAGGAAGGUAAUUUAGUAUGACAGGUAUGUCCCACAAAAGUACAAAAUUAAGCUAAUAUCGCCACGUGGACAAUCGGCAAGAAUAAAGCGUUGCUAACAAAAAAGGCGCGACGGGAAGGACCAAUAAUAAACUUAGCCCAAUUUUCUGUCUAGGGAGGACUUAUCAGGAGUCAGAGAGGCAUCUAGGGAGGCGAGCGACAUUUAGGCAUAGAAUAUUCUUUAUGAACAUAGAACAUAGAAUUAAUUCCUAAUUAAAUAUAGAAUAUUCUUUAUGAAUUAAUCGAGCACGUUCAUAAAGAAUAUUCUAUGUUUAAUUAGAAAUUAAUUCACUAAGAUAUUAAAUUACAACUACGUAUGUAACACGAGCUAGCUCGUUAAAAUAUAGAGCUGAAAAUUCAGCUCGUGUUUGGCUUCAAAGAGCUGGUUUGUUAUUUAGAUCGCCAACCCUACUAUUAGGUAAAUAAAUUGAAAAAAAAAAUAAAGAUUAGAAUUUUAAUCUAAUAAUUAAAACUCACAAAAGUGUGGAGCUACUAUACUAUUAGAAGUAUAUAAAUCCAACUUUGGAUUCCUAGGAUUUACUAGUUGACAGUGCUAAUAAUAUAGAUCCAAAGGUCCAAAGGUUGGAUGUGGGUUCUUCUAAUAGUAUAACUGCUCAACUCUUCACAAACUAUAGUUCUCUACACAUUUACAUUGGCCUAAAAUUCUAGUGGUAUAUAGUUCCAACUUCAGAAUCCUAAGGUUUACUAAUUGACGGUUCUAAUAGUAUAAGAUCCAAAGGCCCAAAAGUUGCAAGUGAGCGCUUCUAAUAGUAUAGUAACUCAACUCUUCACAAAAUAUAGAUUUCUUCAAAUUUAGAUUGGUCUAAAAUCCAAAUAAUAAAAAUUUAUAAUAUAUAUAGUUCGACCAAGGUGCUUUUGAAAGCACGAAGAUAUUGAUACUCUAACAUUUUUUGCUAUUAAAUCAACCCUAGUAAUUCUUAUAUAUAAGCAAUAUAGAGUCGAACACGAGAGAGCUAACCCUAGCUCGUAUUCAGCUCGUUAAGAUUGCUAACUGAAAAAUUCAACUUAUGUUCGACUCGUUUAUAUAACGAGCAAUCAAUUUUGAACUCAUUUUGAAGUUGAACACGAGCUGACUCGAAAUCAGCGAGCUGGAUUGCCACCCCUACUGCACACAUCGCAUGCAAGCGAUUUCUCCUAUCCGCCUAGAAAACAAUCAGAGCUUGCAAUAGUGCCAACUACAAUCAUCCAGGCACAUAAAUUCCAAGUUGGAAAAACCAUCCAGAGUUUGGAACACACAUGCAUUCACUGUAUAUAGAUAACUAUCCUAUAAUCCAGCCAGCAGUUCUACUUUUCCCCCACCCACCCAAUUAACUUCAACAUUCACCGAAAAGAUAAACAAACAAAAUAUAAUAUAAUAAAAUUUACAGCCCUCGGCAGAGAAAUGCAUUUAAAAAGGGCAAAAUAAAUCCACUUGAAAAUCCCCUAAAAUCUGAAGAACCAUUUUAAACUGAAACUAAGAUCAAACAGCAAAACCAACAAAACCAUAUAACCGUGAUACCAUUCCCAUCAUUCAAAAACCAAUUAAAAAGCUGCUAGUUUUCACUCUUCAUAUUUCCUUCCACAUGCACUAAUGCACUGAUAAAUAAGAUCUUUCCCUUUCACAACGGUUGGAUGAUAACACAUUGUGCGCACCAUCAUCAGAUUAACCCUUUCGAAUCCACUGAUUCACCACAAACUUGAUUAACAAGAGGCCGGGAGUGCUCUUAAUUAACCACAAUAAGUGGUGUAGAAGCUCUUGUGUGGGUAGCUUGGCUUUAAUAUGCAUAUUAUCAUCAUGGAUUCGGCGAACCAAUCGGAGGAGCCUUCAGUGAAUGCGCCUUCUGAUUAGCUGAAGCUUGCAUAGCAGAGGAAUUUUUGGCAUUGCUAGAAUCACCCGUCAUGGCCAUUGACUUUUUAAUCUGGAAACCAGCCCAAAGCAAUACAUCAUUAAUUAUGUGAAGACCAAAAGACUAGAAUGUGCAGUUGCAUGCAUGAGUAAAACAACUGUUAUGCAAGAGUAUAACAGCGAAUAACAGUUGUUGUGAGAAAAAAGGAGAGGGAAGAAAAAAAAAAAAAAAAAAGGAACAUGAAAAAUUGUAGCAGCAUGUUAGGACGGGACAAGGUCUGGGCAGAAUGUUCGCUAUCUUUCUCGUCCUUCAAAAGGUUGAAACCUUAUGCUCUCUCUAGAAUGGAGAUGCGAUAUCAUAAAACUAGAUCACCGGGGGGGUGCAAGGAUGUUGAUGUGGGAUUUGACAAGGGUAUUUAGCUUAACAGUUAAAUUGAUAGAAGCUGCGUAGUUUUUUCUGAGCUCAUCUGCAACCUUUCUUUUGCCUUACACUCAUCUCCAAUUAUUGACCCUUUUUUCCCUCUAAACUCAAACCCAAUUAUCAGGGUGAAGGAAUAUAAAGAUCGUCUAUCUUACCAAGGUUACUUUCUAUCUAUACACUAGAAAUUUAUAGCUACUUUUCAUAUUCUCAAGGAACUUUCAGUAUGUUGAGAAAAAUUAGGAGUAAAAAUAUGUAGGAAGACAUCCAUAUUAACUUAUGAGGCCUUUAGGAUAGAACAGUAAUAUACCAUCAACCCACACAUUGCAAUGAGGAAGAAUAGAUGUGCACAAAUCUCUAAAAAGCUACAGACGUAAACUUGUUAAAAAAUAAUAGCACUAAAAUCCGAUUGUGAAUUUGUGAUUAAACUAACUAAUUUUGUAACAGAAUUAUACAACAAACUCACAAGAAAAUCGCAACAGAAAACCUUGGAAUUGUAGAAGAAAAGGAAGCAAACAAACGAUCAAUCCAAGAGCAUGCAUAAUACUAAUCUAAGGCGUAUUUUUGACCUUCGUUUAGAAUUAACCGGAAACACCGCGCUAAAGUGCGACCGGAAUUCAUCCAGCAAGCAUGAUCAUGGAGAAGGUUGACAGAGAAACUUUCAACACCCGAUGGUAAAAAAUAAUAAUAAUAAUAAUAAUAAAUCAAUUGAGAGUGAAGAAAAUAAAAGAAAUAAAAUGAAGCUAAUAAUAAUUUUUUCCCCCUCCAGUCUAUUCAUGCAUAAUGAACAAAUGGAAGAGUAUAAAUAUAUACAGGUAAGUGGGAGCCGAACAAUGUUCAACUCCACGUCCUUUGUUAGUUAGCUGCUGAAACAGCAUAACGUCCGCUCAACUCACAAACAUUUUGAUUCACCUAAUAAAUAAGUAAAAUAAUAAAUAAAUAAAUAUUAAAUAGAAGAAAUAAAUAAUAAUAAUAAUAAUAAUUAUUAUUAUUAUAAAUAAAUGUGAAUUAAUAAAUAAACUCAAAUAAAAUUUUAGGUUUUCACAAAUAAUCACCCAAAAAACUCAAUUGUUGGAAUAAAAAAAUUAAACUCAAUAAUAAAAAGAAGUAAAACCACCGAAUGUUUAUAUUACGUAAUGAGCGAGAUGCCUUUAAGAUAGUUAACCCCACUUAGGAGCCAUUUGGUUGAAUGUAGUUGCAGAAACAGUGUAGUUGAAAAUACAUGCAGUUGCAAAUGCUGUAAUUGUAACUACACCUAGUUUGUUUGGUUUUAUACAGUUGCAACUGCUGCAGUUACAUUUUUUCUGUUUGGUAAUAUGAAGCUGAUAGUUGUAUUUGUAAUUUUUGUCAACUCUUCAGAUAGAGUGGUGAGAUUACCUUCACUAUGCAUAAAAUAAUUGUAUAAUUUUAUUAAUCAUUUAAACUUACUAUUUAUCAAUAAAUAAAUAGAUAUAUAUAUAUAAUAUUUUUAUUUUUUCAACAAUUCUUCAACUUAAUCGCACAUUUAAAAUUUAAUUUAUUUAAUUUUAAUAUUAAAUCAAAUUUUUAAAAUUUAAACAAUUCUCUGAUUUUUUUUAUCAAAUUUAAUAAUUAUAAUUAAUUAAAAACUUAUUAGUUAACAUUCACAAUCACAUUCUAUAAAAAUUUAGGCAAACUAUUUUUAAUUUUAAUAAAAUAAAUUUUAAAAAAUUUAAUUUUUUGCACAAAACUUGUAUUGCCUAAAAAAUUUUAUUAGUAUGAGUUUAUUUACAAGUAUUUUUAUAGAAUUAUAUAUAUAUAUUAUUUAUUUAUUUAUUAUUGUUAAUUUGUGGGUGAUCCUAAUCCUCAGCAACUGCUGCAGUUGGAACUACAACCAAUUUGGAUGUAGUUCCAACUGCAGCAUUUGGACCUUCUUGUAGUUGGAACUGCAGCAGUUGGACUCAACUACACUAAACCAAACAUAGGAAUUGAGGUUGUAUGCAUUUGCAACUGCACCGUAGUUGCAAAUGCGCGCAACCAAACAGCCCCUUAGUGUAAGGGGUUUCUAUCAGAAAAAAUCAGAGCUUUCUUUCACUCCGCCUUCAGCUACCCUACACACGGCAUAGAAUUCUUCGUCGUGGUUUUGUGUGUUAAUGCCUGUGCACAGUACCUUGAUUUUUCAUAAGAGUUUCUAUAGACAGCACACAUCUCAUAGUCGCAGCCAUAUACGAAUAAUCUUAUAUACGUGAUCCCCUCCAGGGAUGUAUAGAGUAACAUCUUACGAAAAUUACCACCUUCAAUUCCAUUAAGAGUUCUAAGCUCAACCUUAAUCACUACACAAAGCACUACUCACCAUAGGGAUGACAUUGGAGCUAAAGCUCCUCUAUAUAAAUUGUAUAAAGUGCACUUUGGCGGACCUGAUGGGUUGUUUUUCUCAUAUUGAACCUUAUUCAAAAGGUCUUUUAUCAUAAAGGUCUAGUUCCCACCGCAAGAAAGCCCUUUCUAGGCAAAGUUCUAUCCCACUCGAUGACUCCAUGACCUUACUUCUACUCAGGCCUUUCGUCAAGCAAUCUGUAAGAUUCUUCUUAGAUCUACUAAAACUCAAAGAAAAUAACAUCAUGAAAAGAUAACCAUCUAUCAAAAUUUUAUCUUAAUUUAAUACUAGUGAAGGAGCCCGCAAGUCGUAGCGGGUAGAAACUAUAAGAGUAAUUAAUAAUAAAAGAACAUCAAACAUUCUCGUGUACCUCACUUGCCACAAUCACUAAAGGUCCCUCACUAUUGGUGCUUGGGAUGGGACUGACGACGCCUUCUCUGGCGACGGUGACAGUGAAAAUGACAACGAUCCUUUCGACCGCGGCAGAGAGGGGAGGUGGUGUCACGCCCCGACACUGCCACUUUGGUCAGUUCAGGCACGUCAACAGACCGCCGAACGGACAGAAUCUCCCCUCACGUCCUAGGCGUCACAAUCCAUACAAUUCGCGAGAUUCCAACCAGGAACAGAAUUCAUACAUAAUUGCAUUCACCACAUUACUUUUACAUUUACAUACUUUUUACUUCCAAAUACAAUCAAGUUAUUACAAGUUGUUUCUUUCUUUUCUACACCCUCAAGCUAGGCCGACUCGGGGUACUGCUAUCUCUGCUCACGGUGGUAGGGCGCUCUCUACUAAGCUACGCCCUUUCCUCGCGCCGUCGCGCCGCUCACGUGUGGACGUGAAAAACGUGGGGUGGGAACUAUAUAAAUAGUUUCCGGUGGGUACGGCCACCCAAAGGAAGAGCUCGACCCACCAGGUUUAAAGGAGGCAAAUCAACAUGUUAGUCCAACAGAUAUCCACAUAUAAUUUAUGCAAGUAUUAAAUACAUGCGUAUGCCUCACAACAUGCAAUAUGCGAUUCAUACAAGUAAAUCUACUGAUUCUACUUUCUAUCUCACUAUCCACAGCUCAUCCAUUUACCAUUCUAUAUCAUUGGUCAUUCUCUGUCACUCGCCAUUUUCACCUAAGGUUUCCUUUACCUUAAACAACUAUACCACCCGACUCGGUCUCGAGUCAAUCAUCCGAGGAAUACCGCGUGCAUCCAGACCUGAGGAGAGGAACCUGCCAUACACCUCAGCCUUUAAUCCACAAACCACAUCGCCUAACGGGUCGCGAAGAACUACGUACACCCGUGGUCAGGGAUCCCCCGAUGGGAGAGGAACAUGCCGCAUACACCCGCAGUNCACCUCAGCCUUUAAUCCACAAACCACAUCACCCAACGGGUCGCGAAGAACUGCGUACACCCGUGGUCAGGGAUCCCUCGGUGGGAGAGAAACAUGCCGCAUACACCCGCAGCCGAGAUCCCCGAUAGGGAGAGGAACAUGCCACAUACACCCUAGCGAUCGAAAAUUCUUCCGGUGGGAGAGGAACAUGCCACAUACACCCACGGCCAAGAAUCUUCCACAACCAUAUUCUCGAAGUUCUUCCGGUAGGAGAGGAACAUGCCACAUGCACUCGUGGCCAACAACUAUCGAGAUCCACAAGUCCUGAAAUUCCGGAAUCCACUUUCUAUAUCUCAAGGGUUAGCCUCAUACCCUAUAAUGUCAAUCUCUCUAGAUUCGACUCAUGCAUAUCCUAGUGGCCAUUCUACCACAAUAAUCCACAACCUAGAUUUAACCACACUAGGUUCAAUACUACUACAUCUCAUAACCUAGGUUUAACCACACUAGGUUCAAUGUCAUUUCCACCUAGAUUCAUUCGACUCUAGAUUCACCGUUCAACCUAUGUUCAAUGACACUAGGUUCAAUACCACUCAUGCUACUUGUUAUUCUAGUUGUCCACACCUAGGAUUUAUAGUUUUCAUGCCACACUUAGGAUUUAUAGUUUUCAUGCCACACUUGUCGAGUUCUCUACUCUUCCUAGAGUUUAUCGACCCAAAUUCAACGUUCAUAUCUAGGCAUACAUAUAUCCACAUCCUAUAAGUCCACAUGCCUAUGUUUCUUAUCCAAUGGUAGUUAAUACAUAGCAUCUAUCUCAUGCCUUCAUAAUUGCAAUUAAACUACCAUUAUAUGCAUCAAUAAUACAACCAUACUUCUCUUUGGCAUGGAAGUGAUCUAAUCACUUCGGUGAAGCACAACCCACCUCACAAUACUCUUCGAUUGCUUGUAGACACUUAUAAUCAGGCUUCCGCGGCACACGUCGCCCGAUUAAGCUCGAACUCACAAUCGACCACCGAACACUCACCAAUUUCCAACCUAGAGUUGUCUGGGGCUCUCCUCUAUCCUUCAAUUAGAGAACCAAAGGAUCAAUUAGGUUCAAAACCCUUAAACCCCAAAAAUCCCAAUUUCCAAACCCUAGUUUUUCCCAUUUCUCCAAAUAUCCCAAAAAUUCAUGGAGUAACAUGCUUAUCUAGCUUAGAAUAGUCUAAGGAUCUCUAGAAUAUCAUGCAUAAAGGAUUUAACCAAAAUCCCAAACGUUUAACCCAAAUACGAAUCUUGAAUCGGAAGCACGCCGUACUACCAAGCGCUUGAGGACUCGAUCCACCGCUCCAUACGCGUUCCCGAGCUUGUUCUCCACCAAAACCCCAAGUUCGGAAGAGAGAUCUAGAGAGAAAACUAGAGAGAGAGAGAAGUUUCUCUCUCUCUCUCUACCAUGUGUGUGUGUGUUUUGGCUGAAGAAGGAGGAGAAAGGAGAGGGGAGGGUCUCCUUUAUAAGCCCUUAUGCUGGGCUUAUGCUGGGCUCCCCGCAUGCCCUUAUGCUGGGCUCCAAUUUACCAAAAUGCCCUUAUGCUGGGCUCCCCGCAUGCGCGGGGUCCGGACCCUGGCUCUAGGGCCCGGAUCCAGUAGUAGCUCCAACAGCUCAAAAACUGCAUUUUUCCCAAAAAUGUAAGUUCUUACUCCUUGAGCCUCUAAUCCAUUUCCAACCAUUCCAAAACCCUCAAAACACAUUUUUGAGCGUGUUUAAACCAUCCUCUCACUUAUACUUUGCCGGAUUUAGGCCAAAGUCCAAUAUAGCUUUCCGAGUUCCGUUUUCGUGCCCAACUCGCACCGAAAAUACUCAAAUGCUCCCCGAACUUCAUCGGAACUAUUUUAAAUAGCUUUUCAAGCUAAUAUCCACCGAAACUUCAUAACUAUAGAAGUUCAGUAUAUUACAGAUGGGCACGCAUUAGUGAGAGAGGGAGGAAAGGAGGCGACGGUGUAUAGAAAAAGAUGAGGGAUUGAGAAUUGAUGAAUUAAUUAGAGAUGAAGAAGUGCGGAUUGUAGAUGGCAAAGGAUAAUUUGGAUGCAUUAAUUAGAAGUUUGGUGGAGGGAAGGAGAAGGAUCAUAAUGGAUUAAUUGGAGAGAAAGAUGUGAGGAUUGUAGAUGGCAGUGGAAUCAUUUAGAUGCAUCAAUUGGAAGUUUAGUAGCGGAACCGUUUAGAUACAUUAAUUAUAUGCAUUAAUUGAAAGUUUAAUAAAGGAAAUGGGAAGGGUCACACGUUGGUGAGGGUGAAGGACAACUUGCCAUAGGGAAUGGGACGGGUCACACGCUAGUGAGGGUGAAGAACAACUUGCCACGUGGCAAAAAUAUUGAGAAUUUAUAUAGGUUAAUAGAUUAAUUGAAGAGAAAGAAGGAUUGUAAAUGACAGUGGAAUCAUUUAGAUGCAUUUAAUUGGAAGUUUGGUAAUAGGAUCGUUUAAAUGUAUUAAUUAGAUGCAUUAAUUGAAAGUUUGAUGAAGAAAAUGGAAAGGAUGACAUGCUGGUGAGGAUAAAAGACAACUUGCCAUAGGGAAUGGGAAGGGUCACACACUGAUAAGGGUGAAUGACAACUUGCCACGUUGAAAAAAAAUAUCAUAUAGGUUAAUAGAUAGAUUUAGAAGUAUUAAUUAGAUGCAUUAAUUGAAAGUUUGAUAAAGAGAAUGGAAAGGGUGACACACUGGUGAGGAUGAAGGACAACUUGCCAUAGGUAAUGUGAAUGGUCACACACUGAUGAGGGUGAAUGACAACUUGCCACGUGAUAAAAAAUAUUGGGAAUUCAUAUAGAUUAAUAAUAGAUUUAGGUGCAUUAAUUGAAAGAUGUGAGGAUUGUAAAUAGUAGCGGAAUCAUUUAAAUGCAAUAAUUGGAAGUUUGGUAAUGGGACCGUUUAGAUAUAUUAAUUAGAUGUAUUAAUUGAAAGUUUGAUGAAGAUAAUGGAAAAGGGUGACACGUUGGUGAGGAUGAAGGACAACUUGCCAUAGGGAAUGGGAAGGAUCACACACUAAUGAGGGUGAAUGACAACUUGCCACGUGAUAAAAAAAUAUUGGAGAUUCAUAUAGAUUAACAAAUUAAUAGAUUUAGAUGUAUUAAUUAGAUGCAUUAAUUGAAAGUUUGAUGAUGAGAAUGGAAAGGGUGACACGCUGGUGAGGAUGAAGGACAACUUGCCAUAGGGAAUGGGAAUGGUCACACACUGAAGAGGGUGAAUGACAACUUGUCACCUGGCAAAAAAUAUUGGGGAUUCAUAUAAAAGUUAAUAGAUAGAUGCAUUAAUUGAAAGUUUGAUGAAGAGAAUGGAAAGGGUGACAAGCUGGUGAGGAUGAAAGACAACUUGCCAUAGGGACUGGGAAUGGUCACACACUGAUGAGGGUGAAUAACUUGCCACGUGGCAAAAAAUAUUGGGGAUUCAUAUAGAUUAAUAAUUAAUAGAUAAUAGAUUAAUAGAUAAAUGUCUGCUAGCCUUAGAAUUCACCAAUUCUUUUUUACAAAAAUCAAUUACAGAUCGAGAGUUGCAACGAAUAGAAAUAGAUAGAAUAUAAGAGGAAAUCAAAGAAAUCAAUAACAAUAGGUUCUUGAGCCAUUCGGCUUCAAGACAAGUAGUGGCAAAGACAACCAACUCUACCUUUAUAGUGCUUCUAGCUAUUACGAUCUGUUUGGUUGAUUGUCAAAAAACUGCAGUACCACCAAGAAUAAAGACAAAACCAUAAAUAAAUUUGACAUCUAAAGAAUCAGAAAUUCAAUUUACAUUGUUGUAUCCCUCAAUUAUAGCAGAAUAGCCAACAAAUUUGAGAGAAUAUGAAAGAGUACCUUUAAGGUCACCAAUACUCUCUCCAGAGCAAUCUAAUGAGUCGUACUAGGAUUACUAGUAUAUCUAGUCAAUCUCGAUAUGACAUAGGCAAUGUCAGAUCUAAUCCUAUUCGGUAUAAAGAAGACUAACCUAAAAGUUGAGUUGAAAGGUUCACCCUCAAUCAUGUUGACUUGAGGUUUAGGAUAGUUGUUCUGAUUGUUCUAGUCUUCUUGUAGACAACUUUCUUCGAUAAAAACAUUUUGAAGCAAAAUAGUUGUUCCGGCCACAAACAUAACAUAAACCAUCCUUCUUAUUCCCACUAGAUUGGUUGGUAUUGAGCUUCUGCGUAUGGUUCCAAUUUCGGUUCCUACCCUCAAAAUCUUUACCCUUAGAUUUAAAAUUUCUACAUUUGGGUUUCAACUCAUGGCUUCGGUUCUGAAUCUCGGUCAGAUUUAUAUUAGAUAGGUUGCGAAUUGGUUUAAUGGUUUUAUAUUCUGAUCGCUUGAAUUACCAACUCUAGUUUAAGAGUUUCCUGAGUUCUUCUAACCUUUUGGGCAAAUCUAGACAAAAGAAAGGGGUAAUUUGUCUAGUAGGCAGGUAGCUUGAUAGAUAUCAUCUAAGGUUAAACCAUUCUUGGACAAAAUUCUGAAAUUGGUAGACCAGAUCAUUUAUAAGAAUGUUGUCUACCAUUCUAAAAAUAAAAUCAGUAAUGGUAAACCUAGCAGCACCUUCAAUUUUGUGAUGUAGGCAUCUUCUAGAGUAUUACCAUAAAUCUUUGAUAGUUUGGUAUUUCCUAUAAGUUUCAUAAAGUUCAUCAGAUAGGCAACUAAGUAUUCUAAACCUAUAGUGAAAUUUAAUUUCUCCGUGGAUUUACUACGUUCAAGUUCUGUAACUGAGAUAGCAAUAGAUUUAGAAGAAUCUGUAGAUUUAAAAAAAAAAAAAAAUCAGAGAGAGUUGCAGGAGUAGAAGAAAUUUUAGAAAUAGGAUAGGAAGGUGUUUUUCCAACUGCAGUUAUAAAGUCUAGGGAAAUAAGCCAGGUGUCAGGAAGUGAAUUCUCGAAAUGCGAAAAUUGGACUUCGAUUAGAAUCGACUGAUUGUCGAUUGGGUACGCUUCGGGAAGGCCGAAGACAUCAAGAAGGCCAAAAGUGCAUUGGAGAAGGCCUCCGAGAGCGACUUGUGAAAAUUCUGCAAAGUGCAAGAUUUUUGCUCUCGGGGACCGGUCCUUGGUGGGAGAGACCGGUCCCCGUAGCUUGGAAAGUGUGGCAGAAGGCUCUGCGCACAAAACUUGCUCUCGGGGACCGGUCCCUGACGGGGGAGACCGGUCCCCGUAGGUAUGUAAAUUGAGCAAGAGGCUGUCCUGCGAGAGUGUGCUCUCGGGGACCGGUCCCUCGUUGGAGAGACCGGUCCCCGUAAACGUGGGAAAGGGAGCAAGGGCCCUUUUCUAUAAAUAAGCCUCUCGGGGACCGGUCCCUCUUAGAGAGACCGGUCCCCGUAGCCUGAAUUUGCCCAAGAUGGGCUGUGCAUGGUUGGCAAAGUUGAGGGGCUUCUAUGCAUUUGUAGCAUAAGUAGAGGCUAUAUGAAAGAGUGUGCUCUCUUCUCAUUUUCUUCCCCAAACUCAACCCUAUCUCUCUCUCUCUAAACUCUCUUCCUCUCUCUCUAGAAGGUGAAGAAGAGAAUGGAUUUGGUGGAGGCGCAAACUAGGAGAAGGAUCUUCGUUGUCUUCUUCUUCCUCUUCACCCUUGGAGCUAGCUUUGGAGGUAAGCUUCUAAGCUCAACAAUGGUAGAUUUCUAGGGUUAGUUCCGUAUACUCUAGAAAUGGUUUUGUUGGAACCCUAUGAUGCUAAGUGGAUGAUUAAUGCAUGAAUCUAGGGUUUUGUUAGAGUAUUUUGCAAUAGUUGCAAGUUAGGGCUCCGAAAUGGGAUUUUGUGAUUUGUUGGGUAUUGAUCUAAAUUGAUCAAGUGUAAACCUAAUUACUAGGUGUUUAAACUUGUUGGCGAAGACGGUUCGACGAUUCGUCGAGCGGGUGAAAAAUUGUUGGCAAAAAGGACCUUCCGAGCUUCGUUUCCGCCUGGGAGGCCGAGACGACAUCGUAAAAUCGCCGAACUUCAUUCUUAGAGUCGUUACAACGCCAGAAGGUGGGUGGUGUCAUCCCGAAGCAACCGGGCUCCUCUUUAUGUCUUAGUGCAUUAUAACCUUACAUCUCUUUAUGUAUGCAUUGUAGGAUAAAUGUGCAUUUUCAUUUCCUUAUGCUUUCCUAGAUGAUAUCAUAGUGUGAGUUGAAUGCUUCAUAUAGUGAAUAGAUAAGGAUUGAGUCGAGACAUUGAAUCCUAUGGUGCUAAGAUAAGAGAUGGACUCGAUAAUUGAUAAAGACAUAACGAGUGGCAUGUAAAUAAUAAUGACAAAAGAACGAGUGGCAUAAAACUUAGUGUAAAGUGACACUUGACAUGUGAACUUAAGGAUAGGCGGAUUCCCUAGAGAUGAAUCAUUGAACAAGAACUUAGUGUAGUUAAACACUUGCAUAUGGACAUUGGGAUAGAUGGAUUCCCGAGUGACUGUCAACCCUAGUGGAUAGGGUAUCCUCGAGUUGAGAGGAUUGGAUCAUGCUCACUGUUUGUUCAGAGCUUGCGGUGGUCGCUCCACACAAGCAUGCGCUUCGAAGUUUGUCACACGAGGGAUAGCCUUAUGAGGUCCCGAGGAUAGCCUUAAUGGGGUCCCGCAAACGGUCUCGAGUUUGUUGAGCGAGUUGAGUUUCCUUACCAUGAGAUGCAUGUGAGUCGUGGGCGAACCUCAGGGUUGGCCAAGGAAUGGGUAAGUCAAGAGAGUUGAUGAACAAGUAAAUGGCAUUACUUCUUGGACAUAAUGGCAUGUUAGUUGAUUACCUAUCACAUUAUGCAUGCAUACAUUGAAUAUGAUUCGGGCAUAGUAGCAUAGCUUUCUUACUAUGUCGUUACUGUUUUCGCAUAUCUAUCUAUCUAUCUAUCUGCUUGUGCCCACUUGGACCUAGUGGGGAGAUCGGCGAAGUCGGCGGCCGAACCCACUGGGAACUAUGGACGAUAGUUCUCACCCCACUUUGUUGCAGGGCCGAGUACGAGCGCUCCGUGUGAGGAUCGCGGUAAGAGCUUAGCGCCCUCGCAUUAGUAGCUCUCCUACUGCAUUAGAGGUACCUACAUAUGUGAGAGUAGAUGAUGUAUAGGCUGUGAGAUGCAUUUUGGAGAGAAGAGAAUAAACUUGUUGUACCUAUAUUUUGGACGAACAAAAUGUGAAUCAAUUGUAUAAAUGGACAAAUCGUGAUGUAAUAGAUAGAACUCUCUCUUUUUGCACUUGUAUGUAUAUUUGUGUUACUUGCUCUUGUUGUUAAGCACUUGUGGUGCUUCUAUUGUCGUUGUAUGGAUCAUGUAUGUAUUGAAUUAUUCCCGGGCGAAUUCUUGUGCAUGAUCCCAUGCUUGAGCCUUGGGCGGACAGGGGAGGUGCUGUCCGUUCGCCGUCUGUUCGACGCGCCCGAACCGGACCAAUAGGUAGCGGUCUCGGGGCGUGACAGGUAAUUAUGGUAUCAGAGCAAGUAAAGAGAGGAAUCUAGGAUUGACCUAGAAGACCCUAGGAUGGAAACCUUAAGGCUAUAGGUGCGUAAGAGAGACGUGAACCUAUAACAGUGGCGGGAGUUGAUCGAUUGGGUCAGGAUUGGAGUGUGUUUCUAGUAGUGACUAGAAACGGAUUCAAGUGGUAUGAGUUCUCGACUCGCAGUGGUUGUGUUGGCGGCCGACAACAUGACACUAAGAGCCGGGAAUGAGUACACUUGUGUGCUUCCGCCUAAUUGCGAUGCCGAGUCGCGUUGUUCGUAAAUGCGAUGAGGUUUAGCGGGUUAGGGUGAUUAACCAAGUUGGUUGUGUUUCAGGAGCUGAUGUCCCCAAGGCGCUACACACGUAGGUCCGUUCCGGCACCGCCUCCUGAGGUGCCUGAGCAAGCUGGAUCUAGCGAAGUGCAAGAGUUACGGGCGCAAAUGACUGCGCUAGCCGGCGUGGUGCAGCGCCAAGAGAGUCGGUUCGAGCGGCUCCAAGAGCUUAUGGAGCGGCAGGUGGCGGCGGCUGCUGCGACGGCAACCGAAGGUCGUGAUCCGCCCGUCCCCUCGGCGCGCGUGCCUGAAGUGGCAGAGGGUGAGGGCAUAGCGGCAGUUCCGGUGGUGGCACAUUCCCCGCCGGCAAGUGUUCCUCCGGCGGCCUCAGGUUCGGCGACACCCGAUGCGGCGGCCAAGAAGGUGGAACGGGAGCAUGCGUUGGCGGCUCUCGUCAAGUUUAGGAAGUUCAACCCACCUAUUUUCAAGGGGGAAAAGGUGGAACCGUCGAUGGUGGAGUCGUGGGUUGACUCAGUAGAGACACUCUUUGAGGACCUGUCCACCUUGGAGAAGGAUAAGGUGUACCUCGCCACCCAUUGUCUCGAGAAGGCGGCGAAGGUGUGGUGGAAGCGGGUGAAGCGAGACCGGUCUUCCGACCUUCCGUCGAUGUUAUGGGAGGAGUUUAAAAAGACCAUGUUCGCAAACUACUUCCCCGACACUAUGAAACGGAAGCUGCAGGAGAAGUUUCGUAAGUUGAGACGGGGAUCGUUGAGUAGCGGACUAUGAACAGGAAUUCUCCCAUAUCAUAGACUCUGUCCCGGAUGUUGUUCGAGAUGACCGAGACCGAGCCGAUUGGUUCUUGCGAGGGCUUCGGCCGGGGAUAUAUAGGGCCGUGCAGCUAUUCAAGCUCACGACCUUUGCCGAGAUAUUUGACCGAGCAUUGUGGGCGGAGCACGGUGAUGCCCACGUGCGAGAAGAGCGCGAGCUGAUGGCCGAGUCGAAGGACAAUGGGAAGAAGCGUCAGGGCGGUGGUUCGGGGGGACAAUCUAGUUCCAAGAAGCCCCCGAAGUAUCCGCAAUCGCAAUCCAGAGGCCGUGGAGUGCCGCGGUGUGUCAUCUGUGGUGGAGACCACCCCGCGUCGCGUUGCCGUCAGCGGCAAGGAAAGUGCUUCAAGUGUGGGCAAGCGGGACACUUUGUCCGCGACUGUCCUGGGGGAGUCUUGCCUGCCCCGUCUGUCGCAUCGGCUCCAGCGACUCCGGCACAUUAUAGAGCCCACCGGCAACGGCAUUGGCUGGACGCGCGAUGGCGCCGCGUCAACCUGAGAUGACGCGAUCGGCCCCGAGCGGACGGGUAUUCGCCGCUCAAGCCGAGGAGCCUGUCGAAGCUGAGCGCCACGUUGUGGCAGGUAUGGUUUUAAUUAACGGAGUUCGUCCAGGGCUAUGUUUGAUACAGGUGCCACACAUUCAUUCAUCAGUAGAUCAUUUGCACAAAUGCAUGACAUUGGCAUUCAAUUAAGUAAGAGCACCUAGCGAGUAGAGGGCCCCGGGCGUGCGUUCGUUAUUCGCAAGGGAUGUCCGGCGUGUCCAAUUCAAGUGGGCAACUGGAUAAUGCCAAUUCGUAUGUUGAUGCUCAAGAGGUUGAAAGACUUCGACGUUAUACUGGACAUGGACUGGCUUUCGAAAUAUUACGCGUCUAUUGACUGCAGGCAUAGGGUGAUAACGUUUCGGGAGCCAGGAUAGGAGGAAUUCACAUACCGAGCGUGCAAGAGCUCAUGCUUCGCCGCGACGGUAUCUGCGACGAGAGCAAGGAAAUUGGUUAACAGCGGUUGCGUGGCUUACUUAGCGACCAUUGUGGAAAUGGAUCGAGUAGUUCCGGCACUCGAUGAGUUGUCGGUAGUUCGGGAGUUUCCGGACGUGUUUCCUACGGAGUUACCGGAGAUGCCGCCGAACCGAAAGAUCGAGUUUGUGAUAGACUUGAUCCCCGGAACGGCGCCGAUCUCAAAGGCCCCGUAUCGUAUGGCGCCGGCUGAACUAAAGGAGUUGAGGGCCCAACUGCAAGAUCUCCUCGACAAAAGGUUCAUCAGGCCGAGUGUAUCACCGUGGGGAGCCCCAAUAUUAUUUGUGCGGAAGAAAGACGGAUCGUUUCGACUCUACGUGGACUAUCGCAAGUUGAACAAGGUCACGAUCAAAAAUAAGUACCCACUGUCCCGAAUCGACGAUUUAUUUGAUCAACUACAGGGGUCGUGCAUGUACUCAAAGAUAGACCUAUUGUCCGGUUAUCAUCAGCUGAAGAUAAAGCGGGAGGAUGUGCAGAAGACCGCAUUCCGCACGCGGUACGGGCACUAUGAAUUCACGGUCAUGCCGUUUGGGCUCACGAACGCCCCGGCAGCAUUCAUAGACUUAAUAAACCGUGUCUUCAAUGGGUACUUGGACCGAUUUGUCGUGGUUUUUAUAGACGACAUUUUGGUCUAUUUUCGUAGCGACGAGGAGCAUGCCGAACAUCUAAGGCUAGUGCUUCAAAUCCUUCGGGAGGAGUUGUAUGCGAAGCUAAAGAAGUGCGACUUUUGGCUCCGGGAGGUCACAUUUCUGGGGCAUGUUAUUUCCGAGGGUGGUAUCUCUGUUGACCCUAGAAAAGUUGAGGCGAUUAAAGAUUGGCCGCGCCCGACUAAUGUCACGGAGGUUCGAAGCUUCGUGGGCUUGGCGGGCUACUAUAGACGGUUUGUGGAGGGUUUCUCGAAGAUCGUGAUUCCACUCACCCGUCUGACUCAGAAGGGCACCAAGUUUGUAUGGAGCGAGGAGUGCGACCGGAAUUUUUAAGAGUUGAAGGAGAAACUGACUUCGACUCCGGUACUUGCUUUACCGGUGCCAGAUGAGGACUUUGUGGUUUAUAGUGACACGUCUUAUUCGGGAUUGGGGUGUGUUCUGAUGCAAGACGGGAAGGUGAUCGCGUAUGCGUCCCGCUAGCUAAAGAGCUACGAGAAGAACUACCCUGUCCACAUCUUGGAGUUAGCCGCGGUGGUAUUUGUUCUCAAGUUGUGGAGGCAUUACUUGUACGGCACGCGUUGCGAAGUGUAUACUAACCACAAGAGUCUAAAAUAUUUGUUCACACAAAAAGAUCUGAACAUGCGACAACAGCGGUGAUUAGAGCUGCUGAAGGAUUAUGAUCUCGAUAUUCUCUACCACCCCGGGAAGGCAAAUGUAGUCGCUAACGCACUCAGUAGAAAGUCGGCGGAGAACCUCGCGAUGUAGGUCACGGAUUAGGAGCCCCUAUGGAAGGAAAUGGGACGGAUUGAUCUCGAGGUUGUAGCUCCCGAGAUUCCGGCUAUGUUGUCAACUCUCGUUGUCCAACCAACCCUGUUGGAGAGAAUUAAAGGGUUGCAACCUGCAGAUCCAACUCUCCAAAAGGUGCGGCGCGACAUCGAGAGUGGAUGCGGCGGCGAUUUCAGUGUAGACGCCGAGGGUGUGCUUCGGUUUCGGAACCAGUGGUGUGUACCAGACAAUGAAGAGAUUCGAAAGCUGAUUCUGAAAGAAGCACAUUGGUCGCCUUAUAGCAUCCACCCAAGAGACACCAAGAUGUAUCAAGAUCUAAAACAGCAUUACUGGUUGCCGGGAAUGAAAGUCGAUAUUGGACGCUAUAUGGCGGAGUGUCUGGUAUGCCAGCAAGUCAAAGCAGAGCGCCGAUUUCCAGCGGAAAAGCUGCAGAGCUUACCUAUCCCCGCUUGGAAAUAGGAGGAUAUGACCAUGGACUUCGUGGUCGGCUUGCCUCGUUCAUCGAGUGGCCACGAUGCAAUCUGGGUGAUUGUGGAUCGUUUGACGAAGUUGGCACACUUUUUGCCGAUCCACACGACUUGGGCAGGUGACGGGCUGGCGCAGGUAUACCUGGAUGAUAUUGUGAGGUUGCACGAGGUGCCGAAGUCGAUUGUAUCGGAUCGAGACCCCCGGUUCACUUCGCAUUUUUGGAAGAGCAUGUAAGAAGCGUUGGGCACACGGCUCGAUUUCAGCACCGCUUUUCAUCCUCAGACAGAUGGACAGUCAAAGAGGACUACAGAUUCUAGAGGAUAUGUUGCGAGCGUGUCAUUGACUAUAGGGGUGGUUGGAGUAACCACUUGCCAAUGGCCGAGUUCGCUUACAACAAUAGUUAUCAGGCUAGUGUAGGGAUGUCACCGUUCAAAGCUCUUUACGGGCGGAAGUGCCGAUCUCCUAUCCAUUGGAGUGAGGUAGGCGAACGUGCGGUAUGUUUUGCGAGAGGCGGAGGAGAAAGUCCGCCUUGCUCGCCAAAGAUUGCUCAUGACGCAAUCUAGACAAAAGAGUUACACAAAUAAGCACCGUAGAGAUUUGGAAUUCGUGGUGGGCGACCGCGUCUUCUUAAAGGUGUCGCCCACGAGAGGCGUGAAGCGGUUCGGAGUGCGGGGAAAAUUGAGUCCCCAAUAUAUUGGGCCGUACGAGGUGUUGGAGUGAAUUGGUGCAGUGGCUUAUCGGCUAGCGUUGCCGCCGAAGCUCGCCGAUGUUCACAAUGUCUUCCAUGUCUCCAACCUCCGCAAAUAUAUCCACGAUCCCGAGCAUGUAUUAUCAUAUGCACCGCCGGCAUUGCGCGAGGAUAUGAGCUACGAGGAGUUUCCAACGUUGAUUAUUGCUCGAGAAGUGCGAAAGUUGCGAAAUUCCCUACGUCAAGGUUCGGUGUACCAAUCAUGACGAUCGCGAAGCUACGUGGGAACUAGAGGACACAAUGAAAGCGCAACAUCCUCACUUAUUUGAGGAUUAAGAUGAGGUAUGAGUUAAGUUCAAGUUUUAGUUGAGAUUUGAGUUCGUUUCGAGGACGAAACUCUUUUAAAGGUUGGGAGGAUGUAAGGAAGUGAAUUCUCGAAAUGCGAACGUUGGACUUCGAUUAGAAUCGACUGAUUGUCGAUUGAGUACGCUUCGGGAAGGCUGAAGACAUCAAGAAGGCCAAAAGUGCAUUGGAGAAGGCCUCCGAGAGCAAGUUGUGAAAAUUCUGCAAAGUGCAGGAUUUUUGCUCUCGGGGCAGGUCCCUGGUGGGAGAGACCGGUCCCCGUAGCUUGGAAAGUGUGGCAGAAGGCUCUGCGCACAAAACUUGCUCUCGGGGACCGGUCCCUGACGGGGGAGACCGGUCCCCGUAGGUAUGUAAAUUGAGCAAGGGGCUGUCCUGCGAGAGUGCUCUCGGGGACCGAUCCCUCGUUAGAGAGACCGGUCCCCGUAAGCGUGGGAAAGGGAGCAAGGGCCCUUUUCUGUAAAUAAGCCACUCUCGGGGACCGGUCCCUCUUAGAGAGACCGGUCCCCGUAGCCCGAAUUUGCCCAAGAUGGGCUGUGCAUGGUUGGCAAAGUUGAGGGGCUUUUAUGCAUUUGUAGAAUAAGUGGAGGCUAUAUGAGAGAGUGUGCUCGCUCUUCUCAUUUUCUUCCCCAAACUCAACCCUAACUCUCUCUCUCUCUCUCUCUCUCUCUCUAAACUCUCUUCCUCUCUCUAGAAGGUGAAGAAGAGAAGGGAUUUGGUGGAGCAAGCUAGGAGAAGGAUCUUCAUUGUCUUCUUCUUCCUCUUUACCCUUGGAGCUAGCUUUAGAGGUAAGCUUCUAAGCUCAACAAUGGUAGAUUUCUAGGGUUAGUUCCGUAUACUCUAGAAAUGGUUUUGUUGGAACCCUAUGAUGCUAAGUGGAUGAUUAAUGCAUGAAUCUAGGGUUUUGUUGGAGUAUUUUGCAAUAGUUGCAAGUUAGGGCUCCGAAAUGGAGUUUUGUGAUUUGUUGGGUAUUGAUCUAAAUUGAUCAAGUGUAAACCUAAUUGCUAGGUGUUUAAACUUGUUGGCGAAGACGGUUCGACGAUUCGUCAAGCGGGUGAAAAAUUGUUAGCAAAAAGGACCUUCCGAGCUUCAUUUUCGCCUGGGAGGCCGAGACGACAUCGUAAAAUCGCCGAACUUCAUUCUUAGAGUCGUGACAAUGCCAGAAGGUGGUGUCAUCCCGAAGCAACCGGGCUUCUCUUUAUGUCUUAGUGCAUUAUAACCUUACAUCUCUUCAUGUAUGCAUUGUAGGAUAAAUGUGCAUUUUCAUUUCCUUAUGCUUUCCUAGAUGAUAUCAUAGUGUGAGUUGAAUGCUUGAUAUAGUGAAUAGAUAAGGAUUGGGUCGAGACAUUGAAUCAUAUGGUGCUAAGAUAAGAGAUGAACUCGAUAAUUGAUAAAGACAUAACGAGUGGCAUGUAAAUAACAAUGACAAAAGAACGAGUGGCAUAAAACUUAGUAUAAAGUGACACUUGACAUGUGAACUUAGGGAUAGGCGGAUUCCCUAGAGAUGAAUCAUUGAACAAGAACUUAGUAUAGUUAAACACUUGCAUAUGGACAUUGGGAUAGGUGGAUUCCCGAGUGACUGUCAACCCUAGUGGAUAGGGUAUCCUCGAGUUGAGGAUUGGAUCAUGCUCACUGUCUGUUCAGAGCUUGCGGUGGUCGCUCCACACAAGCAUGCGCUCCGGAGUUUGUCACACGAGGGAUAGCCUUAUGGGGUCCCAAGGAUAACCUUAUGGGUCCCGCAGACGGUCUCGGAUUUGUUGAGCGAGUUGAGUUUCCUUACCAUGAGAUGCAUGUGAGUCGUGGGCGAACCUCAGGGUUGGCCAAGGAUUGGGUUAAGUCAAGAGAGUUGAUGAACAAGUAAAUGGCAUUACUUCUUGGACAUAGUGGCAUGUUAGUUGAUUACCUAUCACAUUGUGCAUGCAUACAUUGAAUAUGAUUCGGGCAUAGUAGCAUAGCUUUCUUACUAUGUCGUUACUGUUUUCGCAUAUCUAUCUAUCUAUCUGCUUGUGCCCACUUGGACCUAGUGGGGAGAUCGACGGAGUCGACGGCCGAACCCACUGGGAACUAUGGACGAUAGUUCUCACCCCAUUUUGUUGCAAGGCCGAGUACGAGCGCUUCGGGUGAGGAUCCCGGUAAGAGCUUAGCGCCGUCACAUUAGUAGCUCUCCUACUGCAUUAGAGGUACCUACAUAUGUGACAGUAGAUGAUGUAUAGGCUGUGAGAUGCAUUUUGGAGAGAUGAGAAUGAACUUGUUGGACCUAUAUUUUGGACGAACAAAAUGUAAAUCAAUUCUAUAAAUGGACAAAUCGAACUCUCUUUUUGCACUUGUAUGUAUACUUGUGUUACUUGCUCUUGUUGUUAAGCACUUGUGGUACUUCUAUUGUCGUUAUAUGGAUCAUGUAUGUAUUGAAUUGUUCCUGGGCGAAUUCUUGUGCAUGAUCCCGUGCUUGAGCCUUGGGCGGACAGAGGAGGUGCUGUUCGCUCGGCAUCUAUUCGACGCGCCCGAAUCGGACCAAUAGGUAGCGGUCUCAGGGCGUGACACCAGGCCUCUAACUAUUCUUGCCACCUCACAAAGCCUAUCUCUCUAAACUUUUUAGGCUUCGGGCUUAAGACUAGAAGUGUCCUCAAAGACUAUUUUAGAUAAUCAACCCACAGCCUUCUCCUAUCAAUCUGACUAUUAGAUGUAUACACAAAAGUGUAAAUCAAAUCUUUAUUCAGCUUCAUACUUUCUAUAGCAGCCAAGAGUUAACAUCUGGUCAGUCUUUUCGAUAACUCUGACUGUUGUUAGGAUAUUUGGAUCCCGCAGCACUCAGAUUCUCACUUGCUUCGUGUUGUCAUUCUAUUGGGAGGCUCGUUACUUCAACUAGUCCCCAUGUUCUUCGAAUGGAUCUCUUAGUUGUUGAGAGGGUUGCCCAAAAGCGGUAUAUAAGGCGUACCCAGUAAAGCUUACAAGUAAACCAGAUAUGGAGAUGGCGACUAGGGUUGCUGUUUCCAUUUAGAUAAUUUCAAGAUCACAAUAGAUCUACGAUAAGAUCGUUUAUUUAUAUACUGGUCGAUCAUAUAAUAGAAAUGAUGAUUCAUUCAGAUCAAGCUUCCUUCCUAUUAAUCUGGAAGUUCUUCUCAGAUACAAGGAAAUGAUUCAGUUCUAGAGCCAAAUAUCAUAGUUCUCAAAUGAGCAAUCGAAAAGAUUCGAGAGCAUCCUCGAGGUUAGGUACUCUUCCUCAUAGUAUCUACUAUUUAGAUCAUAUUUAAUGAAAGAAAGAAAACAUAGUAUGGAACUUUGUUGGAUUAGGUCCAAGACAAAGAUUCUUUCUUGACCAAACUACAAGUAUGGAACUCCAUAUGCUUAUUACUAAACUUGUUGAAGAGAUGAAACAGAACCAAGGUCUUAUCUUUUUUAUCAGAGGUUGAAUCGAUCAUCAGAAGAAGAAGUAGACCAAAAAUUAGGAUACAUUCUGGGAAAAUGAAACUAAGUUGAGAAAAUGAAGAAAUUAAGGUUGACUAGAUCGAGUGGCAAAAAGGGUUCAAAAAACCUUUUUAGAAAGUAAGACAUGUACCAGAAUAUUUUCAGGGUUCAAGUUUUAAAAUAUUAUUUUUUUAUCAUAGUUGGUUCAGCACCAAAAAGAUGACCCAAACAGUUUAUAAUGUUUGAUUUCAAUUAGGUGCUUUCAAGCGAAGUUUAUAAUGUUUGAUUUCAAUUAGGUGCUUUCGAGCAAAAUAUUGAUGCAAUCAAACAAUACAUAUAUUGCAAGCAUAGUUAUAAAAGAAAUUAAAACAAUAAAUAAAGCAAAAAUUUAAAAUUUGGUGCUAUUGGUUAGAGAGACUUGCUUAAGAGCUAUGAAAGUUCUAGCUAGCUGUGGGCUCGAAUCCAACAGAAAGCAAAAACAAAAUUUUUUUUCCUUCUUUACUGUGACGAAAACAGUAUUUUUUUUAUUUUUUGAAUAGUAGAAAUCAAACCUAUUUUUUCAACAGUAACAAUUUUUUUAAACAGUAUUACACAGUAAUUUAAAAACCCUUUUCUUUUGAUAAAAACAGUAAAAAGCCCUUUUAUUAUUUUUUUUUUAAAAACGGAGAAUAAAUAGCAAAAUUCUAUAAUUAGAAUAGGCAAUAAAUUAAACAAUAUGCAAUUGCAACUUUGCAAGUUAAAGAGCUAAUCCCGAAAAUUUAUGUUAAAUGCCAAUCACACAAAUAACUUACUACCUAAGGUGUAUUUCCAUCUUUUGUGCGGGAUUAACCGAAAACACCGCCCCAAGGUACAACCGGAAUUUGACAGAGAUUCUUUCAACACCAAGUGAUUAAAAACAGUAGAGAAAGAAUGAAAGAAAAAGUAUCAAAAUAAAAGGAGUGAUAUAUUAAGAAAAUCCAUAUUUUUUUCCCUCUUUUUCUCUCACUGUGUACAUGUCAAAGAGGGGAUAAAGGUUGCACUUAUAUAAUGCAUUAAGGAACGUUGGACAAUGCUUUCUUUACCCACAUCUUGCACGAGUCUCACGCUUCCAUUUCGCACAAGAAGCGGAUCCAUUUCCGCUUGAGAAACGAAACAAAAAAUAAAAUAUAAUAUAAUAAUAUAAUAAAAAUAAAUAAAGAAAUUCAAAAUAAAAAUUUGGGUUUUCUCCAACAAAACUUACCACAGCAAGCCUCUCCUUGUGAAAAUCAUUUGUGAUCUGAAAACAAUUACCAAAAAACCCACCAAACAUUAGAUUAUUAGCGUCACUAUAUAAAGAACAAGAAAACAACACAAUGACUUCCCCUCAAACAUUUACCUGCUUCUUGUAGCAUUUGAUUUCAUCUCCACCAAAACCAGGUAGUGUCAUAUUCCAGUUUCUCUCUGCAAGCAAAAAACGUCAACGCUCGAAACCCUAUACGAAAAACUACAUAAAAGAGAAAUACUAAGGCCUGUUUUGGUAUUGUAGUCAUUUUUUUGUUUUCUUUAAUAGAAUUUCUUGUAAACUUAUGUGGGAAUGGACAGUGAGUCGCUAACAGUCCUUGUAACCAAGGUGUUGUUCUGAAACAAAAAAAACAAAAAAAAAAAAAACUUGGAAAAUCUGUUUUUUGGCUUCUUUGGGUAUUUUAAAGGAGAAGUUAGCGUCCCUCACCUAACAAAGGUGCAUUGCAAGCUAACCAACAAGACUAGAAAAAUUCAUCUACCGGCACAUCCAAUUACACAUUAUUUGUGUUAAAAAAAAACUUGCAACAAAACCAAACAAGGCCUAAGAUCGCAAUAAGCUAAAGGAAAACCAAAACCCCUUACCAACAUAUAGUAGUAUAUCUUUUACUUCUAACAUGUUUGACUUUCGAUGCUUUGCCAAGGAGCAAGCAAACAUUGUAGUCUGCUCAUAUAAAGAUAUAAAAAGAAACGUGAUAAGCACGAACUCAGUAACCAAAAGAAAAAAAAAAGAGAGAAAUGCAACAAAUGAUUGUGAUGCAAUUCAACCAAGUCCUAAGCGAGCUUUCGAAAUGAUUUCAUAUCAAGAUUCCCCUUUCAGGAUUUAUAUAUCAUCAAGACGUAUUCCACAUUUCACGGCCCUACACAAUAACAGAAAGCAGUUGUAUUUUCAAGUAUAGACAUGAAAACUUACAGAUUCAAUAAAAUCUUCAGCAAUCUCAAUAAGAACAUCUUCGACUUCAGCAUCUAACUUCUCCGACGGAUCAAUCUGCACAAUUACGAAGAAUCUGUGGAUAAGGUUGAAGAUAAUGUUGAUCAAUUCCACAAAUUAGGGCUGCCAAUUGGUCACAGAAGGUCAGGUCAUUCAAGUCAAUUCCACUAUGACAUCAAACCAGGACCGAUCCAAACCUGACUCAACUAAUCAACAAGUCGGGGUAAGCAUGUGGGGUAAACGAGACAGGCUAAAAUGAGAAUCUUAUCCCUUAAAACAUAGAAGAAUUCAUUAAAAAAAAAAGGUGGAAUCUCAGACAUCUUUAAGGACACUUCAUAGAAGUCUUCUUAUUCAAACAACUUGGUUGCUCUUACUAUCAAAAAACAAGAAGAGAGUCCAGUGAAGUUGGAAGAAAACAAGUCUAGACUCGAGACGCAAUGCAUGCGGCAAUGCAUGCUUACUAUCAUUAGAAGGGAAAGACUGAUAUAAGAAUUACAUCUUACAUAAAGAAUAUGAGUAUGUGAAAGAACAGUCAACGAAGCCUCAAAAUUCAAAGAACCAAAAGAGAGAGAGAAAAAAAAAGAAGAAAAGACCAGGCUAACAUGAAGAAGGUAGUGUAAAAACAGAUGAUCCUUUAUCACAAUAAUCUAAGUUUUCUUGUCGGACGAAUGACUUCUUGCUACAACAAAUUAGAUCAGAUUGAUGAUGAAAUGUCAAAACACAAAGGUAAAAAUUUAUGAAACCCUCUCAAUUGAUAUUUUUUUAUUUCAUUCAGUUGAAUUGGAAUUGAGUUAAAUUCAACAGCUGUUUCAUUAGAUUUAACAGCUUUACCUGCUUAUCAGCUGGCAGAACAGCAAGUUCUGUAACAAUAAUUAUCCAAAAGUUAACAGAACUGUUAAUUUAAUUAGGACUCCCUGUUCAAUCAAUUGACCUAACUUGAAUUAAAAAAAAAAAGAAAAAGAAAAAGAAAAAAGAAAACAAGUUGAUGGGGGUGAUCAAUCACACCAAAAAAAAAUAAUAAAGUGAGGACCGUCUAUCUAACAAUGGGCUACACUUGAAGGGUCUAAAUACAUAUUCACCAAAAUGUAAUUUGGAAACAUAAAAUUUAGAGAAAAGGAAAGCACCUGAGAAACCAAUUCACGGAUGCUUCUCUUGCUAAGAAUGUGAUUAUCAGAUUCUACAUCAUCUGUACUAACAGGAGUGACUGCCCCAGACUGCACAACCCCAGCUUGCGCCAGAGGAGCACUAGAUUUAUGGGCUGUUGAUCCAACAUUUCUCGCAGCCUGUUGUAGAGUUAGGGCUUGCUGGUUCCUAAGAGCUAGGUACUGUUGAUGCUCUUGUGACAACUGUGACCCUGCAGAUGUUAGCUGUUGCGGCUGUUGCAGCAAUUGCUGCUUUUGUUGGAGCUGCUGUUGCUGGAUCUGCUGCUGUUGAGAAGAUGAUAAGCUCUGUUGUUGUGGAGUUGUUGAAGGUGAUUGUAGGAGAUGGUACGGUCUCGGUUGUAGAACUUGUGGCCUUGGUUGGGGCCUAAGUGAAGAAGCAGAAGAAGAAGAAGAAGGCACGGAGGGUGCAUGCAUUAGCUUUCCCUGGCUUGAUACCAACGGCUGCUGCAUAUGUUGGCUUUGUGGAAAAGCUGAUGCAGAAAUAGGAGAAGGCAAUGAGGGGGCUUUUGAUAUACCAUGACUAGGGAAUUUCUGUAUAAAAUAGGAAAUUAAUAAGAUGAGAGCACAAAAUAAAGCAAUUUCGUAGAAAAAAAAAAAAAUUAUUCAGAAAACUCAUGCAAUGUUCUGCUGUAGCACUAAACCAAGCAGGAAAAGACACCACAUAGAAUUUAGAUGAUUUUCGUCAAAUUAACCAAUAUCAAUCUUUUGAGGCGGUGGUUACUUAUCACACCUUAAUGCAUUUCCUGGUAUCUUUGCAUGCGAUGUUAAUUACAGUUUGACUUAACUACAAUUAUAAGUUGUUUUCAGGUAACACAUGAGCAAUGCAACUUCCCAUGCAAACUGCAAAGUGGAAAAUAUUGAUGGAGACGAACUAAAACAAUCUAACUUUUUUCUCAUAGGAGAAGAAGAUUAGUUGGUUUACUUGUGAAGCUAACGCUUGACUAGCAGACGGAGAUGUUGAUCUUAUUGGGGCUUGAAUAAGUCUCUGUUGCUGGGGACCAGAAACAGCAGUCGGUCUCAUUGGAGCAGCAGAGCUAAGAGAACCAAUCAUACCAAUAUUUUGAAUACCUGGAGUAGAUUGUCUGACCUGAAAAACAAAGUUACAUCAAGUAAAGAGUAAAAUGAUACUAAAAUAUAUAAAGAUCCAAUUUCAAACCAUUUUAUGUACUUUUAAAGCAUUUGAUAUUGCAUUGGCACAGGAGACUUCGUCUUAAAUAAAGAUAUAGUAUGGAACCACACUCAACCUUAAAAAGCUAAAACGAACACGGAAAAAAAAGAAAAUCCCUACAAAAAUUUUCCUCCUUUUAAUAAAUGCUAACUAAAGCCAAUGCCAGAUCCAAGAUUGGAUGAAAUAAGUACGAGUUGGUUUCAGUUGGAUAAUUGACUAUUCGAUCAUAGAGAAUGGUUGCUCCAAAGUUAGAUAAUUCUAUCAUAUCACAAUAGUAUAGAGCUACAGAUUCAAAAAAAUUAAAGAUAUAGCUUAGCAACACGCCAAUUUUAUUUGAAUUGCUUUAUAACGCAUACAAAUCUUUUCAGACAAACAAAUCUUAUAAUAGUGGAUCAAGAAAAGAGGAGAUUUGACAUAAGAAUCCUGACUGUCUUGCAGUCAACAAUAUCAAAAUCCAACAUUAUCUUAUGAGUUUAGGAUACUUGGUAUUUCUUGAUCCCAUAUUUGCCAAAUUAAUAAGUCACUCGACUCAUUACUAACAAUGGCAUUUGUUUAUUCUCGCUUCUUUGCCCUACCUCCCCCGCAGAUAUUAGUAGAAAACCCAAUUAUUGAUCACUAGGCUCAAAUGAAAAGUAAGAGAUUUGAGCUGCUGAGCCUUACUUUCUCGCUGUUAAAAGCUUCUAAUCGUUGCUAUAGCUUAAGGUUUUCGAUUUAUUGGUAUGCCCUCGUCACAUAUAUGCUAAGAAAAUAAGUCACUAAUCUCAUCUACUAAGAAUAGCAAGCACACGUUCUCUCUUCUCGCUGCUCGAGCUUGCAAAAGAAUUUGCAGAAAGAAUUUGCAGAAAGCCCAAUUUGGUGAUCACCGGACUUGCAAUUUUCAUAUUAGAAAGUUCAGAGGAGAGCAAAUUAUGGUAAAGUGAGUUAAAUUAGAGAGGCAAAAGAUCAAGCAUCACCUGAGCAUUGGAGGUAGGCGAUUGCUCAGGCCCGCGAUUCAGGGAGCCAAACGGCUGGUUGAAGGAUGGCGAGGGGCCGAAGGAGGAGAAGGCCAUGGGAGGCUGCUGAGACCGCGGGAGGUGCGCUGGAACCCCGGUGGCGAGGCUGCCUCUUGGAACCGUCGAAGGGGUCGGCGAUGGCGAGGGCACUGAAGCAGAAGAAGAUGAUGACGGCGACGACGGGGAAGAAGCAGCAGCACUAAUAGUAGCAGCAGCAGCAGUAGUAGCAGUAAUAGUAUUAGAAGGGGCGGAAGAGGAGGAGGAGGAGAGAGAAGCGGAAGGGAAGUGGUGGGCGAAGUGGGGGAGCAACUGGGGGCGCAUUGGGGAAAGAGGCGGCCUCUGAGGGAGCUGGUGCAGGGUUUGGGGCGGGGUUUGGAUUUGGGGUUGGGGGACGCUCGGAGGGUCUUGGCUAGUAGUUUGGGAGGCAGAAGGGACGGCAGAGGAGGAGGGUGGAGAGGGCACGGGGGCCGACGAGGGCGGCGGCGGAGGUUGGAGUGGUGUAGGGUUUGGGGCCGGAGAGGUUUUUCACUUUGUUAAUUGGUUUAUCAAUUUAUCAACUUGAUGGAGUUGUCCUUUCGUUGAGGCACGUGUGGCGCACGUGACAAGACGGACGUCCCUGGAUUCGAAUUAUAGCCCACGUUUUGAACGGCCUAAUACGAGCUUUGGGAACAGGCCCGGCCCAGGAAACUCGGACCACACUGGCAUUCAAGCAGGACCUGGUCGCCAGCCUCUGCGGACCGGCGUUUUCCCCAAGCGAGGGGGUCCGCCUCAGCCCCCGCGCCACUAACCACUGCUAGUCGCUGCGAGAGUACUAAAACACCCCCGAUAGCCGCAUUAGGGCUUUUUUUGCAUUUAGACCCCUGGCAAAUUUUUAUUUUAAAAAUAGCUCUGUCAAAAUUUAAUUUGCAAAAAUAGUCCUGAAUCUGCCACGCAGGUACCACGUCAGUGCCACACGGGCAGGACCGGGCCGUGUGUUAAGGUGAACACGGUGAACCAUUCACCGUGUUCAAACACGGUAAAUGGUUCACCGUGUUUAGUAUGUAUUUUUUAUAUAUUGAAAAAAGGAAUAAGGAAUAGGAAUGUCAAUAGGUAUGGAUAUCCGAAAUAUUAUCCGAAUUCAAACCCGAAUAAAUUAUAUAUAUAUACGUAAUUUAUUUUUGUUUAUUUAUACAAUAUAUAAAAUAUUUAAUAAUUUUUAUUCCUUAGAUCUUCAUCCAACGGUAUAGAUUUUUAAAACCCGCUGGGUUGGAUGAAGAUCUAAGAAAUAAAAAUUAUUAAAUAUUUUAUAUAUUGUAUAAAUAAAUAAAAAUAAAUUUUAUAUAUAUAUAUAUAUAUAUAUAUAUAUAUAUAUAAUUUAUUCGGAUUUGGAUUCGGAUAAUAUUUCGGAUAUCCAUACCUAUUGACAUUCCAACUCCUUAUUCCAUUUUUCAAUAUACAAAAAAUACGUACUAAACACCCCUCUUUUCAAUAUAUAAAAAAUACGUACUAAACACGGUGAACCAUUCACCGUAUUUGAACACGGUGAACCAUUCACCGUGUUUAGACACGGUGAAUGAUUCACCGUGUUCAAACCUAAUACCCCGGCCCCAGCCCUGCUCGCGUGACGCUGACGUAGCGCCUGCGUGACAGGGACAGGGCCAUUUUUGCAAUUUUAAUUUUGAUAGGGCUAUUUUUAAAAUAAAAAUUGCUCAGGAGGCUAUUUGCAAAAAAAGCCCGCCACAUUAUAAUUCCAGCGCUUCGCUUCGCUCCGCAUUCUCCGAACCAUCGAAUUGGAUGAAAUUGCAAUCUUUUUUAACUGGCUGUAAUUAAAAAUUAAAACUAUACAAAAAAGGCUCAACUAUAAUAGUUGAAGCUAUGUCUAAAUUAGUCAUAAUUCUAACUACGGCAGUUGUACAGAUUAACUUAUAAAAAGUAAACUUAUCUUUCUAAUUAUUUUUUAAAUAUAAAAUAUGAAUCAACUAGGAUUCGAACUCGGGACCUUGGAUACUGUAAGGACUGAGAUUUUUUACUGUGCAACUAAACUCUCUGUUGACGAUGUUUAUGUGUGUAAUUUAAUUACAUAAGCACUCGUCAAGUUUCAGGAGANGUGGACUUCUGUUUAAACAUCGAAUGUAAAACUACGGUGUGAAUGGUGAAUGUAUGAAUGUAUAGCUAUCUGUAUAUUCAUUUGAUUGUGGUUGUAUACUGUUUGUACUUUUGUACUUGUGUGACGCCGUGCAAGUACAGGGGAGACUCUGUCCGUGUGAACAGUGGAUUCCCUGUAUUUGUGGCGGAUCUGGCAUACUCUGGGGUCAGGUUUUUUUUUAAAAAAAAUUCAAACGCUUUUCCACUGUGUUUCAAACAAAAAGGGGACCCCGGGGCGUGACAGAUACCAACCACCAAACCUUUUGCCACUUGCGCCAGGGACAAUCCGUGGGAAUCCCUUCAUACUACAUAUAAACUGAUAUAAAUACACUUCUCACCAACAUACAACGAAAUAAAUUAUUUAUAAUUACAGUAUUUUUUAUUAUUUCUUACCAAACAAAUUUAUAUAUAUUUAUAACUUCUGUGCUUUCAACUAUACCAUGUAUUUAUAAAAUUCUACCGGCCAAAUAUAUAAAUAUAUACAGAGAGAGAAAUAAAGAGUCUGUGUAGUGUUUCUGAGCUUUGGAUAGGACUGGCUUCAGUAUUAGUGACUGGUCGACACUUCUGGAGAGUGUUGGACUGAGUCGGAGUCGUUUCUGCGCGAAAUUGAUGCAGAAAUGGACUUAGCGCACUUAAAUAAGCAAAACUGAAGUUUUGCUAGUUUAGGGCGCCCAGAACUAGAUUUAGGGCGCCCAGAAGUUUAGGGCGCCCAGAAAUAGUUUAGGUCGUCCAGUACUGAGUGCUAAAUUUAACUAAAACUGGAAGCCAAUUCGGAUCCUGUGUUCCGGGCGCCCAGAAGUGGGUCCGAAAAUUCUACAUCGUGAAUAUCGAUCGUAUUGACGCGUGUCUGGUGGUAGAUGUGGGCCGCUGGAGCAGGAUAAGUGUGCAGCACACCACAGGCGGAGGAACUGAUGGGGGCUGUUUGUGCAGGCUAGAAGUUCUGGGCGCCCAGAACUUGGUUUUUCUGCAGAAACUGCAAGUUAAUUUCCAAUAUUCCUGAGGCUUAUCUUACCGUUGGAUUACCCUAUAAAUAGGUGGGAGAUGCCCCUGGUAAGCUCUUUUCCUCUCUUUCUCUCAGGGAAGCUUACAUUUGCAUUUCCAACCCUCAAAUUCCCUCAAAUUGCAUCCAAUCUUUCAAUCGAAAGGUGGUGGAGUACUGAUUCUGCAGUUCUUCAGAAAUGACCUCCAGUGUUUUGGCUCGUACGCGACGUAGGAAGGUCGGAUCGCGGUGAAACAUGGUUUGCUGGAUUCUAGACUUCUAGAGGAAUCCACGAAGCCCUGAAUUGUAGAUUUUGGUUGAGAUUAUCUUGGUCGAACGGAAGUUUUUCUAGACUAUUGUUGAUAUUGAGCUGAAAAUGAGAUUUUUGAGCUUUUCUUGAUGCUAUCUUUGUAGGCAGUGGGAUUUUGGACCUGAGACACAUUCUCCAUUAUUAUUCACUGGAUUUGAUACCUUCCUCACCUGAUUUGGAGGUAAUUAGGUGAGUUUUGACAUUAUGAUAGGGAUUAAAUUAAGCUUUAGUGCUGAAUUGGGAUAAUUGAUGGAAUUCAAUGUGUAGAGCUUGGAGAUAGCUUGAUUACUGGUCUUGGAGGAUUUUGGUUGAUCCAGCAGGGAUUAGCAUUGGUUCAGGACCUUCUUUGCUACCAGGAUUAGCAAUUAAGGUGGGUUACAUCGGUUUAUUCCUAAGCACAGUAUUAGUCGACAUGUAUGAUUUCCAGUUUUUGUAAAUCAUGUUGUAGCUCAAUUUCGUUGAUUGUAUCAUGGAUGAAAUCAAUAUUCAGAACAUGAUUAGUAAACCAUAAAUAUACAUGUUGGACUUGGAAUUUGACUUAGGAGAAAACCAGCAAUUUGGACCUGUCACCUGUUUACACUACCUGAUUUAGCUAUAGGAGCCGUUGUAAUUUUGUAUCGUCGCAAUAUCGAGGCGACGGGUACCCCAGGUAGUUUAGCUUUCAGUUACGCUCGUGCUGGGAUGCCGAGUGUAUUUUUACAGUAGCGUUCAGGUUAUUCCGGACUGUUGGGUGCCGUCGGGGUUGACAGUGGACCCAUAUCGCCUUUUUGGCGUUGGAUUGUACCGAGGGCACGUGAUCUGUUGGUUGUUAGACCAGUUAGAGUUGAUUUCUUGGACUUUGGCUUGAGAGAGUCUGAUUGAGCUCGACAGAGAUACGCUGCAUACUAGGUUGGGUAGCUCCCACGAGUGCCACUCCGGAGACGGGCGUUGUGCUUUCGCGUUGGUGUCGUUCAUGCCGGUUAGACUUGCUCUCCAUGGACUGGAUAGUGUGGAGGUAGCUGGAUAGUCUCAACUGGGCGGGAUGUGUGUGUUCACAGUCCCUGGGACGUGUAUGUUUACAAUCCUUAAAGAGAUUGGAUCAGGAUUGACAUUACUACAGUAGGUCAGCUUAGAGCAUGAUUGUGUAAUAAAUAGUAGCUGUAGAUUUCAUUCCAGCAUUUAUUACUACCUUUGCUCCCUUCUGUAGACUUAGUAGGUGGAUCGAUGUUGUUGAAGGCGGCACCCACUGAGGACUAUUUGUUUUACAGUAGUUCUCACGCCCUGUUAUUACCCUGUUUUUGCAAAGCCAUCGUCUUCGGCUGGUGCUGUUGCUGAUCAGGAUCGAGGCAAGGGCGUCGCGAGUUAGAGCCCUACCCGACGAGCCGAGCUAGAGGUGCCCAUACAGCAGGUAGUUGUUUUUGUUGGAGUUCAUGUACAUACAUAUAUUUAACUCGCCAGUGCGAGUAGUUUUGUAUCUUGGAUUUGGCGUAUAUAUAUGGAACUCGCUUUGUUUUUAUUACUGGUGCUUCUAGCAGCUCUAUACUAUUGUUUGUAGUAUUGUAUGAUUUACAGGUACAGCUAUCGCUUCGUAUACAGGAAAAAUUUCUUUGUAUACGGCGGAUUUGUCGGCGCGCCCGGGGAACGAGUAAUCCGGGGCGUGACAGAUUAAGUUGGUAUCAGAGCUUAGCAUUAGGUUGUUGGGACCUAGAAAACCUAAGUUUGGCAAACCUUAGGAAGGCAAGACGCGAGAGGCGUAAUGUAUUGCAAAAGUCAAUGAUUAAUUGUUCUAACUCCUCUUAGAGUGGGGUGAGUGAUUGAAGUAGUUCCUAUUUUGGCCUGAGAAAUUAUGUUGGCUGCAGACAACAUAAUUUUGGAGGAAAACAGGGGCCGCCUUCCAGACUUUCAUUGAUUGGGUCGAGAGUGUUUGUGUUUCAUCUAGCCCCGAUCUUUUCCUUUCAGCUAUGUAUCGUCGCUGAGGUCGACCGUCGUUACGGGAGCGUGCCAAGUUGUCGCAGGAUCGUGCGCGACCUUCCAAGAUGCCUAAGCAUGCGAAGCCGAGUGCCCGGCAGGAGCAGAGUGUUCGACCGGAGGCGAGUGCAUCCCUGGACUUGAGUGCACAGUUAGCCGCCCUAACAGAGGUGACGAGGCGGCAGGGGGAGUUGUUGAAGAGGAUGUGCGAGAGGCUAGCUUCGCCCCAGAGUUCAGCACCGAAGGCACCAGAGUCGUUUGUUCCACCUCCGACUACCCCAGCGACAGCACCAGCUGCAGCAGUCCCUCCGCCAGCAGCAGUUCCAGUAGCGCCAGUUGCGCCUACUAGGGGGCCAGUACCGUUGACAGAGGUCGAGCAGGAACGGUUGACAGAGAAGUUGGCUCGUUUCCGCCGCUUUGAUCCGCCGACCUUCGAUGGCAGUUGCACUGAGGCCUGAGUUGUUGAGGGCUGGGUCAGUGCGAUGGAGAAGCUAUUUGAGAAUCUGUUCAUUCCUGAGUGGGAGCAGGUAUCUUUGGGAGUCCAUUACUUGGGAGGUGAUGCCCACGCCUGGUGGAGGAGAGUGAGGAGAGAGCAGGGACUGGUAGCGUUGCAGCUGAGAUGGGAUGAGUUCUGUGGAAUGCUGUUUGGGAUGUUUUUUCCCAACAGUGUGAAACAGAAGGUCGAGAAGGAUUUGAAGAGGAUUUAGCAGGGGGAUCGUCCAGUGCAGGAGUACAUUCGAGAGUUUACUCGACUCCUAAACUGUGUACCAUUUGUGGUCAGGGACGAGGCACACAGGGUCUAUCUGUUUGAGCAGGGGCUUAGACCUGACAUCUUCAGGUUGGCGUGGGCGCAGAGGUCGAGGACCUUGGAUGCCUCCAUAGAGCAGGCCUUAUGGGUGGAGAGAGGUGAGGUGUCGCUGUAGGAGAGGACUCCGGCUGUGGGGCAGAGUCAGGACAGGAAGCGCCCCUUUUCAGAUGAUGCUGGACAGUCGAGCAGCAGGCGUCCGCCGAGGCCUCCACGAUCACGCUCUCAAGGUCGUGGGUCUUCGGGGCGUCAGCGUUUCAGGAGAUCCCGUCAGUAGGGCCAAACUCAGAGGACACCACAGUGUGUGAUCUGCAGGGGACCACACUGGCCCCGGUAGUGCGAGCAGAGAGAGGGCCGUUGCUACUCUUGCGGUCAGCCUGGGCAUAUGAGGUCAGCUUGUCCUCGUGCAGCAUCAACAACACCAUCCUUCGCAUCAGCGCAGCCGGCAUCCCAGCAGUCCUUUGGAGCAGCACCGAGUUUCCGCCAGGAGGACAGAUCGUCUGUGCUGCGUCAGGCUGAGCGGCGACAGCAGGCUCCGAAUGGCAGAGUUUAUGCAGCUCAGGUGGAAGAUUCUUCAGCAGCCGACAGAGUGGUUGCAGGUUUCAUUUUGAUUUCAGUCAUUCGUACUCGCACUCUUUUUGAUACCGGUGCCUCGCAUUCUUUCGUUAACCGAGCAUUUGUAUUGUUGCAUGGUCUAGAGUUAGGGUCAUUGUCACAGGCACGAGAGAUGCAGAUCCCCGACCAUGUUUUACAGGUUGCAGAGUGUUGUUAGUCAUUCCGGUGCAGUUAGAUUCUUGGAUCAUGCCCGCAGACCUGUUGGUGUUAGGGCAGCUACAGGACUUUGACGUAGUGCUCAGUAUGGAUUGGCUGACGCGGUACUACGCUACUAUUGACUGUGAAGCGAGGACUGUGACGUUCCGCAAGCCAGGCCAGGAGGAGUUCAUUUCUAGAGGAUGCAGGAGUACUUUGUUCGCCACUUGGAUAUCUUCGGUGAGGGCUCGACAGCUGAUGAGUAGAGGAUGCGUUGCUUUUCUGGCGAUUGUGACAGAGGUGCCUACGGCGGCGCCGGGACUCGAGGAUAUUCCUAUAGUCCGCGAGUUUCCGGAUGUGUUUCCCCCUGAGUUGAUUACGAUGCCGCCAGAGAGGGAGAUAGAGUUUGUGAUUGAUGUAGUUCCUGGAACUGCACCAAUCUCGAAGGCACCUUAUCGGAUGGCACCAGCAGAGCUGAGAGAGCUAAAGGCGCAGCUUCAGGAUUUGAUGGAUAAGGGGUAUGUGAGACCUAGUGUGUCGCCUUGGGGAGCGCCAGUGCUGUUUGUAAAGAGGAAGGAUGGUUCGCUCGGGUUGUGUGUUGAUUACCGGGAGCUGAAUAAGAUGACCAUCAAGAAUAAGUAUCCUUUGCCGCGCAUUGAUGAUCUGUUUGAUCAGCUGCAAGGAUCUUAUGUCUUCUCGAAGAUUGACCUCCAGUCAGGUUACCACGAGUUGAGGGUGAGGGCAGAGGAUGUUCCCAAGACGGCUUUUCGGACUCGGUACGGGCAUUAUGAGUUUAAGGUGAUGCCGUUUGGAUUGACGAACGUCCCUGCCGCAUUCAUGGAUUUGAUGAACAGAAUGUUUAAACCGUUCUUGGAUAGAUUUGUGGUAGUCUUUAUUGAUGAUAUUCUGAUAUACUCCUGGAGCGAUGCCGAGCAUGAGGAGCACUUGAGAACUGUGCUACAGCUUCUGCGAGAGAAGAAGUUGUAUGCCAAGUUAAAGAAGUGCGAAUUUUGGUUGCGGGAGGUUGCUUUCUUGGGCCACGUGAUAUCUGCGGUUGGAGUGGCAGUGGACCCGAAGAAGAUUGAUGCCAUUCGAGAUUGGCCCAGACCGACGACGGUGACAGAGGUGAGGAGUUUCCUUGGGCUUGCUGGUUAUUACCAUCGGUUUGUGGAAGGCUUUGCGAAGCUUUCCACACCACUCACUCGACUGACUCGUAAAGGAAUUAAGUUCAUUUAGAGUGAGGAUUGCCAGAGGAGCUUUGAUGAGUUGAGACGAAGGUUGACGUCAGCUCCUAUCCUUGCCCAUCCUGUGAUGGGGGAAGGAUUUGUGAUCUACAAUGAUGCAUCGCACAGCGGGCUGGGCUGUGUGCUGAUGCAGCAUGGUAGGGUAAUUGCUUAUGUUUCACGACAGUUAAAGGAUUAUAAGAAGAAUUAUCCUACGCAUGACUUGGAGCUUGCCGCGGUAGUCUUUGCUUUAAAAUUGUGGCGGCAUUACCUUUAUGACGAGCACUGCGAGGUUUUCACCGAUCAUAAAAGUCUUAAGUAUCUGUUCACCCAUAGAGAGUUGAACCUGAGGCAGCGCUGGUGGUUGGAGUUACUGAAGGACUAUGACAUUUGGUAUUCAGUAUCAUCCCGGCAAGGCAAAUGUGGUAGCAGAUGCGUUGAGCAGGAAGGCAGUGCAGAGCUUGAGCAUAUUGAUCACUCGGCAGAGAUCGUUACUUGAGGAGCUGCAGCGGCUUAGGCUCGAGAUAGUGUCCCCUGGAUCUACUUCGAGACUGAUGUCUAUGAUCUUGCAGCCCACUCUGUUGGAUAGGAUCCGAGAGCAACAGAGUGGAGACCCGCACUUGUCGAGGAUUCGAGAGCAGCUUAAGAAGGGACAGGCCGAGGGCUUUGUUGUGGACAGUUCGGGAGUAUUGCGGUACAGGGACCGACUGUGUGUACCUAUGGAUUUAGAGAUCCGACAGGACAUUUUGAGAGAGGCUCACUGUUCACCUUAUACGGUUCACCCCGGUGGAACCAAGAUAUAUAAGGAUUUAAAGGCUCAGUUUUGGCGGAAUGGAAUGAAGAGGGACAUUGGUAGAUUUGUGGCUCAGUGUCUGACUUGUCAACAGAUAAAGGCCGAGCAUCAGGUACCUACUGUCAAGCUUCAGAGUCUGCUAGUGCCCGAGUGGAAAUGGGAGCAGAUCACGAUGGACUUUGUCGUGGGGUUGUCUAGAGCCCAGGGUGGUUUCGAUGCUAUUUGGGUGAUAGUGGACAGACUGACUAAGUCUGCUCACUUUCUACCAGUUCAGACCACAUGGUCCAGGGAGAGGCUCGCUCAGCUAUAUCUGGAUGAGAUAGUGAGGUUGCAUGGCAUGCCCACUUCGAUAGUAUCAGAUCGAGACCCGAGGUUCGUCUCGUACUUUUGGAGGAGUCUUCAGAUGGCUUUGGGCACUCAGUUGCAGUUCAGCACAGCGUUUCACCUAUAGACAGAUGGUGAGUCAGAGCGGACCAUUCAGACUCUUGAGGACAUGCUGAGGGCAUGUGUCCUGGACUUUGGAGGAGGGUGGUAUCGAUAUUUGAGACUGGCUGAGUUUGCAUACAACAAUAGCUAUCAAGCAAGAAUCCAGAUGGCUCCGUUUGAGGCAUUGUAUGGACGCAGGUGUCGAUCCCCUUUGUUUUGGAGUGAUGUGGGUGAGAGAAAAACGCUUGGGCCUGAGAUUCUGAUUGAGGCUGAGGAAAAGGUGAAAGUGGUGCGACAGCACAUUUUAGGAGCCAGAGUCGGCAGAAGAACUAUGUUGAUACCGGGAGAUGAGACUUGGAGUUCCAGGUGGGAGAUCAUGUGUUUCUUAAAGUCUCGCCGUCCAUAGGGAUUCGCCGAUUUGGAGCACGUGGAAAGCUCACAUUUUGUAGGCUCUUUUGAGGUAUUGGAGCGAGUCGGGCCAGUUGCUUACAGGAUUGCUCUACCUCCACGACCAGCCGGCAUUCAUGAUGUUUUCCACGUCUCGGCUUUGAGGAGAUAUGUGUUCGACCCCUCCCACGUGAUUGACUUCACUCUACUUGAGAUUGGCGAGGACCUGAGUUACGAGGAGCGACCGGUGCGGAUUCUGGCUCGUGAGUCGAGGAAAUUGCGCAACUGGGUCAUACCCUUUGUAAAGGUGCAGUGGAGUAAUCACGAAGAGCGGGAGGAGACUUGGGAGCCGGAGACGGUGAUGAGAGAGUCCUACCCCUACCAUUUUGAGACUCAGGAUUGAGGUAUGUUUCAGUUUCGCGGACAAAACUUUUUAUAGUGGAUGAGGAUGUAGUGUUUCUGAGCUUUGGAUAGGAUUGGCUUCAGUAUUAGUGACUGGUCGACACUUCUGGAGAGUGUCGGACUGAGUCGGAGUUGUUUCUGCCCGAAAUGGAUGCAGAAAUGGAAUCGGCGCACUCAAAUAAGCAAAACUGGAGUUUUGCUAGUUUAGGGUACCCAGAACUAGAUUUAGGGCGCCCAGAAGUUUAGGGCACCCAGAAAUGGUUUAGGUCGCCCAGUACUGAGUGCUGAAUUUAACUGAACUGGAAGCCAAUUCAGAUCCUAUGUUCCGGGCGCCCAGAGUGGGUCCGGAAAUUCUACAUCGUGAAUAUCGAUCGUGUUGACGCGUGGCUGGUGGUAGGUGUGGGCCACAGGAGCAGGAUAAGGGUGCAGCACACCGUAGGCGGAGGAACCGAUGGGGGCUGUUUGUGCAGGCUGGAAGUUCUGGGCGCCCAGAACUUGGUUUAGGGCGCCCAAAACUUGGUUUUUUUGCAGAAACUACAGGUUAACUUCCAAUGUUCCUGAGGCUUAUCUGACCGUUGGAUUACCCUAUAAAUAGGUGAGAGAUGCCCCUGGUAAGCUCUUUUCCUCUCUUUCUCUCAGGGAAGCUUACAUUUGCAUUUCCAACCCUCAAAUUUUCUCAAAUUGCAUCCAAUCUUUCAAUCGAAAGGUGGUGGAGUGCUAAUUCUGCAGUUCUUCAGCGACGACCUCCAGUAUUUUGGCUCGUACGCAACGUAGGAAGGUAGGAUCGCGGUGAAACUUGGUUUGCCGGAUUUUAGACUUCUAGAGGAAUCCAUGAAGCGCUGAAUUACAGAUUUUGGUUGAGGUUAGCUUGGUCGAACGGAGGAUUUUUUGGACUGCUGUUGACAUUGAGCUGAAAAUGAGAUUUUUGAGCUUUUCUUGAUGCUAUCUUUAUAGGCAAUGGGAUUUUGGACCUGAGACACAUUCUCCAUUAUUAUUCACUGGAUUUGAGAUCUUCCUCACCUGAUUUGGAGGUAAUUAGGUGAGUUUUGAUAUUAUGAUAGGGAUUAAAUUAAGCUUUAGUGCUGAAAUUGGGAUAAUUGAUGGAAUUCAAUGUGUAGAGCUUGGAGAUAGCUUGAUUACUGGUCUUGGAGGAUUUUGGUUGAUCUAGCAGGGAUUAGCAUUAGUUCAGGACCUUCUUUGCUGCCAUGAUUAGCAAUUAAAGUGGGUUACAUCGGUUUAUUCCUAAGCACAGUAUUAGUCGACAUGUAUGAUUUCCAGUUUUUGUAAAUCAUGUUGUAGCUCAAUUUCGUUGACUGUAUCAUGGAUGAAAUCAGCAUUGAGGACAUGAUUAGUAAACCAUAAAUAUACAUGUUGGACUUGGAAUUUGACUUAGGAGAAAACCAACGAUUUGGACCUGUCACCUGUUUACACUACCUGAUUUAGCUCUAGGAGCCGUUGUAAUUUUGUUUCGUCGCAAUAUCGAGGCGACGGGUACCCCAGGUAGUUUAGCUUUCAGUUACGCUCGUGCUGGGAUGCCGAGUGUAUUUUUACAGUAGCGUUCAGGCUAUUCCGGACUAUUGGGUGCCGUCGGGGUUCACGGUGGACCCAUAUCGCCUUUUUGGCGUCGGAUUGUGCCGAGGGCACGUGGCCUGUUGAUUGUUAGACCAGUUAGAGUUGGUUACUUGGACUUUGGCUUGAGAGAGCCUAAUUGAGCUCGACAGAGAUACGCUGCAUACUCGGUUGGGUAGCUCCCACGAGUGCCACACCGGAGACGGGCGUUGUGCUUUCGCGUUGGUGUUGUUCAUGCCGGUUAGACUUGCUCUUCACGGACUGGAUAGUAUGGAGGUAGCUGGACAGUCUCAACUGGGCGGGAUGGGUGUGUUCACAGUCCCUGGGACGAGUAUGUUUACAAUCCCUAAAGAGAUUGGGUCAGGAUUGAUAUUACUACAGUAGGUCAGCUUAGAGCAUGGUAGUGUAAUAAAUAGUAGCUGUAGAUUUCAUUCCAGCAUUUAUUACUACAUUUGCUCCCUUCUGUAGACUUAGUGGGUGGACCGAUGUUGUUGAGGGCGGCACCCACUGAGGACUACUUGUUUUACAGUAGUUCUCACGCCCUGUUGUUAUUCCGUUUUUGUAGAGCCAUCGUUUUCGGCUGGUGCUAUUGCUUAUCAAGAUCGAGGCAAGGGCGUUGCGAGUUAGAGCCCUAUCCGACGAGCCGAGCUAGAGGUGCCCAUACAGCAGGUAGUUGUUUUUGUUAGAGUUCAUGUACAUACAUAUAUUUAACUUGCCAGUGCGAGUAGUUUUGUAUCUUGGAUUUGGCGUAUGUAUAUGGAACUCGCUUUGUUUUUAUUACUGGUUCUUCUAGCAGAUCUACACUACUGUUUGUAGUAUUGUAUGAUUUACAGGUACAGCUAUCGCUUCGUAUACAGGAAAAAUUCCUUUAUAUACGGUGGAUUUGUCAGCACACCCGGGGAACGAGUAAUCUGAGGCGUGACGGUCCGGUUAUGGUGUUUUUAAAAAUACCACACACUUGGUAUUGUAAGAAUUUAUUCAGCACAAAAUUAAAACUCAAAUUGCAGUGAAAAAUUAAUAUUGUAUUUUUCAAUUUUUGAAAAAAGCCAAAAUUCAUACCGUAAAUAAAAUCGAAAACAAAAUCAAUCCAGUACCGGUAGAUUAUUCUCAUAUUACAGUGUAAAAAUAAUCUAAAUUAGACAGAUAUAAAGUUCAUAUUACAUCACUUUAGACCAGUUAAGGUCUCUUGAUCUACUGUACGGUUGAAAUUGAAUAUGACGAACUGAAAUUCUAAUUAGCUGCGCACGUGCUUGACCUCUACGCAUUUCCACACGGAAUUGACGCAGAUCCGACGUCUUCCGCCACACAGAACAAAUGAGUCGUAGACUACAAAGACGGUGCUAGUAGUCCUCUGAUAUUUACGUUCCUUUUGAUGAGAUAUUCUGAUCUUCAUGAAAGAUAACAUAGAAAGAGAGCGACGAAUAAUCUAAGAGGCUAAAAAUUAAAAUUUCAUGGCCUUGGAAGACACAUGUUAGCUAAAGCAGUCAUAGAAGAUAAGACGUGUGGAAAGGUUGAAACUGAUUGGGAUGUUUUGAACAUGUGCAACGGAGACCAGUCAGUGCAUUAGUUAGAAAGAAUAUUUUUUAGUUAAAACAUAGAUUGUCUUAUAGGAGUGGGGGUCUGAAUCUAACAAUUGCUAAACAUAUAAUAAACUAAAAAAUUACUAUACCUCAUUGCACAAAAUAAUUUUCAAGUAUAGAGCUAAAUGAAAUAGCAAGAGCUAUAAACAUUGUAGCUGAUCUCCAAUAGUAGAGCUUGGAGAAAUUGCUACUGCUUGGCUUCCUUCUGCAUGCCUUUUUGAAUUCUUACCCUAAUUUAACUAGCUUUGGUCAGUAUUAUUUUUUAUUCUUAAUUAUUUUCUUAUUUGUACUUUAGCAGGAUUUUUAUUUUGUUUUUAUGUUGACAAAUAUAUGAAAGUGGAAGAUUUUUGCUAGAAAAUUGAGUUCAGAUUGGCUUGNCUUUAUGUUCUAGUGGUUUAGUCUCUUUCUCUUUCCUUUCUAUUUCCGCUUGUUGAUAGAACUUAGCUGCAUGCUUGCUCUGAUAUCGUUAGUUAUUGUUUAUUUUAUCUUUCAUAUCACUUUGUUGUAGACGCCUUAUAUGUGCAGGCAUAUGGCGGGUCUGGGCACGCACCGGGCAGGGCCUUUGCCGGGUCCCGGGGCGUGACACAAGGCACCCCCCCGGGUGCACACAAGACGUUUACCACAAAACAUUCAAUAGAGACAGUAAGGAAAUAUUCCUAACAUGAUAAUCAUAGCAUAAAUACUAAACUAUACAAUAAAUCACCAUUCACUAAAGGAAGUAAUAAGUUACUACAAUAAGGAAACAUCUAUCAUAAGACAUACAUCAAGUGCUAAUAAAAAGGUACAUCUCAAGAACAUGGUAGUCCCUGUACAAAAUGAUCUAAUACACCUUUCGAGACUAAAACAAAAAAAAAGUGUCCACCUAGGUAAGUAUCUCCAAAAGGGCUCUAGCUAAUCGCAACUCCCUUACCUCGAUCCCUAACCUCUUCCGCAGUGGAAGGCUCUAAAAAAAAAACAACAAAUAUAUGGGGGUGAGAACUAUUAAACAAUAGUUUCCAGCGGGUAAACCGCUGAAAAAAGCGAAUUACACCACUAGGUCAACUGAGGCAAAAGUAUAAAUAAUUACUAAUAAAGCAUAAAUAAAGUUAAGCAUUAAAAUUCAAAUCUACUAUACCUCUAAAUGAUUAUGUUAUUGAACAAGUAUGGAGUCUAUGCUAUUACAUGUACAAAUAUAUAAUGAAUACUCAAGUGUCAUGCAUUAGCUAGUUGUGAUGUCCAACAUUAAGGGCCUGUUUGGCCAAACUUCUGAAAAAGUGAUUUCUGAAAAAGUGAUUUUGGUUUGAAGAAAUGAUUUUUGUUAAAAGCUGUAGAGCGUUUGGCGGAGUUUAAAUAAAAGUGAUUUUUCUGAAGUGAUUUUGAAAAACUAUUUGGCAAAUUUUUUUUGAUGUUGGCAUAAAUUAAUAUUUUUAUUAAAUUUUAUUUUAAAAUAAUUUAAAAUCUAAAUUUAAAUUUGAAUUAAAAUGAAAAAUUUUAAAUUUCAAAAUUGUAAAAAAUUUAAAAUUUGAUAUUUUAAUUUUAAAAAAUAAUNNNNNNNNNNNNNNNNNNNNNNNNNNNNNNNNNNNNNNNNNNNNNNNNNNNNNNNNNNNNNNNNNNNNNNNNNNNNNNNNNNNNNNNNNNNNNNNNNNNNGGGACCGGUCCCCGAGAGCAAUUUUGCUCCAGUGCAGAUUUCGCACUAUUUGCUCUCGUGGACUCGUUUCCAAUGCACUUUUGGUGAUUUUAAUAUCUUUGGUCUUUCCAAAGUACACCAGCACGACCCUUGGUCGAUUCGGGAUGAAGUCAAAUCCUCGUAUUUCGAGAAUUCACUUCCUCACACUGCUAACUCACCUCAAGGAGUUGUAUGGUGAGCAAAGCCGAUCUACUCGUUUUGAAGUGUCCAAAAGACUCUUUAAAGUCAAGAUGCACAAUGGGCAGUCUGUUCAUGAUCACUGUUUGACAAUGAUCAAAGACCUCGAGGAGCUUGAGAAGCUUGGCAUGAAAAUGGACAAGAAAUUGCAAGUUGAUCUGAUCCUGCAAUCCCUUCCUGUAUCAUAUGGACAGUUUAUUGUAAACUACAAUAUAAAUAAAAUUGAUUGCACCAACGCAGAGUUAUUGAACAUGUUGAUAACUACAGACGGGACUUUGAAAGGUUCAAAGGGCUCGAUUCUCGCUGUGGAGCGAGCUUCCUCUUCCAAAAGAAAAUCUAAUUGGAAGAAAAAACCCGCGAAGAAACAAAAGACGGAAAACAAGCCCAAGAAGGAAGCUUCUAAGAAUAAGGCCGCUAGCAAAGGAAAAUGUUUCCACUGCAACNACGUUGACGGUCAUUGGAAGAGAAAUUGUCAUGUCUACCUGGAGAGCUUGAAGAAUAAAAGGAAGGACACACCUUCGGAAGGUAUGUCAGACUUGCUCGUAAUAGAAACUAACCUUACGGUUUCCUCUACUUCUAGUUGGGUUAUAGACUCUGGUUCUAGUUCUCAUCUAUGUACUUCAAUGCAAGGUCUAAGGGAAAGUAGAGGGCUCAGGGAAGGUGAAGUGACCCUACGGGUGAGCAACGGGGCAAGAGUUGCUGCUGUGGCUGCUUGGCACCUAUCUUUUGCGACUACCGUCAGGAUAUGUUUUAUUACUUAAAGACUAUUAUUAUGUACCUGCUACUAGCAGGAAUUUGAUUUCUGUUUCUUCUUUAGCACAGGACGGUUAUAAUUUUAAUUUUGACAAAGACUACUGCAUAAUUUAUUUUAGAAAUAAUAUUAUUGGUCGUGAUUUUAUGAUUGACAGUCUUUAUCAUUUACAUAUGGAUGUAUCUGUAAAUAUUUUCUGAGCAAGUAGAGACUGCUGUUGGGUCUAAGAGACCGAGAGAUGAGAUGAACCUAAAGUAUAUGUGGCACCUCAGGCUUGGUCAUAUUAGAGAAGAAAGGAUAAAUAAAUUGGAUAAAGAUGGGCUUCUCAGCUCAUUGACUUCAGAGUCUUAUUCAGUUUGUGAAUCUUGUCUUCAAAAAAAAUUGACUAAAUUACCCUUUGUAGGACAAGGGGAAAGGGUCACUGAGAUACUUUCCUUGAUAUACACUGAUGUGUGUGGGCCAUUUGAUGUGCAUGCUAGGGGUGGUUAUCUCUACUUCAUAACCUUUACCGAUGAUUAUUCACGGUAUGGAUAUGUGUAUCUUAUGAAACACAAAUCUGAGGCUUUUGAAAAGUUCAAAGAAUUCAGAUAUGAAGUAGAAAAACAAACUGAAAAAUCCAUCAAGGUUCUUCGAUCAGAUCGAGGAGGAGAAUACCUUAGUGGAGAGUUCCUAAAUUAUCUCAAAGAAAACGGCAUAGUCUCACAGUGGACUCCUCCGGGAACACCUCAACUCAACGGGGUGUCAGAACGGAGAAACCGAACCUUAUUGGAUAUGGUUCGAUCUAUGAUGAGCUUCACUGAUCUUCCUUUAUUUCUUUGGGGACAUACUUUGCUUACUGCAGCUUAUUUGUUAAAUAGGGUUCCCUCUAAAUCCGUUCCUACCACGCCGUAUGAGAUGUGGCAUGGUAAAAAACCAAGCCUUGGUCAUAUCAAGAUUUGGGGAUGUCCGGCCUAUGUUAAACGACUACAGGUGGACAAGUUAGAGGCUAGGUCUGAGAGGGCUUGUUUUAUUAGAUAUCCUAAAGAAACUUUAGGUUACUAUUUUUAUAUCCCAGAGAAUCACAAUAUAGUUGUGAGCAAAUGUGCUAUUUUCUUGGAAAAACAGUUUAUUCAAGAAGCUAGUGGGAGAAAAAUUGAACUCGAAGAGAGAGAGUCUCUGAAGAGCAACGAGUCAUCAAACCUACAGAACCUAUUCAAGCUGAGCCAGUACAUGUAGUACCUAUUCCACCUCGCAGGUCGAGUAGAAUCUCCCAUCCCACUAAACGAUACUUAGAUAUCGUUACAGAGGAAGUAGAGGAAAUGUUCCUAAUGGGAGAUAGGGUCUGACAUCGAUUCCGAGAAAUGGCUGGAUGCCAUGAAGUCAGAAAUUAACUGAAUGCAUUCCAACCAGGUUUGAAUUUUGGUAGACCCACCAGAAGGCAUAGUACCUAUCGGGUGUAAAUGGAUCUAAAAAAGAAAGAUAGGUUCGAAUGGAAAGGCUCUACCUAUAAAGCAAGGCUGGAUGCGAAAGGUUAUAGUCAACGUGAAGGCAUUGAUUAUCAGGAGACCUUUUCAUCUGUGGCCAUGCUUAAAUCCAUUCGAACACUGCUUGCCCUUGCAGCAUACUAUGAUUAUGAGAUCUGGCAAAUGGAUGUGAAAACUGCCUUCCUAAAUGGAUAUCUUGAGGAAGAUAUCUAUAUGGAGCAGCCUUUGGGUUUCACUUCCGGUGACGAAAGUCACAAAGUAUGCAAGUUGCAACGGUCCAUUUAUGGACUUAAGCAAGCAUCUCGGACUUGGAAUACUCGUUUCCAUAACGUGAUUAAAUCGUUUGAUUUCGUUAAGAAUGAUGAGGAACCAUGUGUUUAUAAGAAGGUCAGUAGGAGAGCUGUCACAUUCCUCGUAAUGUACGUGGAUGACAUUCUCCUAAUUGGGAAUGACAUUCCAAUGCUGACUUCAGUUAAAAUAUGGUUGUCUAAAGAAUUCUCCAUGAAAGAUCUAGGGGAAGCAUCCUAUAUUUUGAGGAUAAAGGUCUAUAGAGAUAGAUCUAAAAGGAUGCUGGCCUCUCACAGAAAAUGUAUAUAGAAGAGAUGCUGAAAAGGUUCGGCAUGGAAAACUCCAAAAGGAGACUUUUACCUCUUAGACAUGAAAUUUAUCUCUCUAAGAAAAUAUGCCCCAAUACAUUUGAAGAGAUUCAACGUAUGAGUAAGAUCCAUUUAUCUCAGAUCAGUUAUAGGGAGUUAUGUACGCAUGGCCUAUGUACACGACUGAUAUCGCGCCUUCCUGUGAGUGUCAAGUGAUAUUUUCAAUACUAAUCCAAAGAGUGUGAGAGCACUGGAUUGCUGUGAAGAAACAUACUCAGUACUUUGAGAGGACUGAAGAUAAUGUUUCUUGGUCUUUGAGGAGGAGGUGAAAGUACAAGAUAUUACUGAUUCAGACUUUAUGUCUGAUUGUGCACGAUAGAAGUCUACAGUCAGAAUGAUCGUGUGUUCUUAUGCAAUGUUGCCUCUGUUAUUGAAGAUUCCAAAACAACCAAUUUAUUGCUGACUCUAAUAUGGAAGCAUAGUUAUAUCGCCGCAUCUGAAGCCUGCAAGGAAUCCUUGGAUCUACAUGAAAUUUGUCGCCAGAAUUAGGUGUGAUGCCAUCGUUAUCCAUACCACUAUAUUGCGACAACAUGCGCCAUUAGCCCUAGCUAGGAGCCCAAGUUCUCAUCAGAGGUCCAAGUUAUAUAGAGCGGCUGUUUCAUAUUAUUUACGCGAUACUACCUCGAAGAAAUUCACAUCAGAGAUGCAGAAGGUAGACUCUAGGUAACGCUGCAGACAUUGACUAAACACUUUAGACGGCAGAGCACUGAGUCCUGGAGAUGGGGUUAGGUAUUUGGCUGAUUGGUUUUAUGCAAGUGGGGAGAUUGUUAGAUGUCAUGCCAGAAGCCACCAGAGCCGACACAUAUAUUCUUUCUAGGAUAUAAAUUUGUAUUUGACUUUUAAAUAUUAUGAAUAACUUUGGAUUUUUAUUUCCAUUCAUGUUGUGUAUGUGUUCAUGAAUCGUCCAAGGAAUUAAUAAGAUGAUGACAUAUAUUCUCAAGUGUUGAGAAUUUGAGACAUGUGUCAUUGGUGGUUAAUUUCUAAAUGCUCCCGAUCAAUGGAUCAUCACGGGGACGGUGAUUGAUCCGGUGAGAUUGGUGCAUAGGUCGCUUCCCUUUCUGGGUAGACGAGUCUCGAGUCGACAGUGUGGGGACACUGAAGCGAAUAUGCAGGUGGUUGUUGGAGAACAAGGGUACCGAGCGUGACCAAUGCGAGAAGUCACUUGGAUGUCUACUCACUUGUCAGUGACUUACUUAAUGUUGAAGUAGUGUGACUGGUCCUUUGACCUGCGGUGCCUCGGCUAUUCACAAUGAGGUUACUGUAGUUUGACUAUACAUACACUUAGUCCCUAGCCAUUCGGAUCCUUGUGGUACAUGUUGGCUGCCGUAGGUUCAUUGUAGGAAUAGGAUGCGUACUUAGAUGGAAUCUAUCUCCCUUGGUAGAUAGGGGUGUUAGUCCUAUGUGAUUUAUGAGACCGAGUUUAAAAGACCUUGGCCAGGGCAGAGUUAAUAGCGAAAAAAGGUUUCUGAUAUUAGAAACUCGAGUCGAAUAAAUUUAACAUAUGACAAACGAUGGGAUUUGACGAGUUAUUCCAUAACCUCCGUCUUGUCGGGACUCAUGAUAGAAGGAUUGUAUCACACGGUAACUGCACAAAGAGGUUCAGUAUUCCAUUCUACUGGAAUGCCAUUAAAUGCUGCUAGACAUCACUGGUGGAUUGUGAGACUCAUGAGAAUUAUCUAGAUGAUCAAUAAUUCUCAUUGGGCUGAGUUGGAAUUAUUCUGAUCCAUUGAAAGGAGUUUCAGUGAUAUUGUUGAUAGUGUUCAAAAUAUAUCUCACUACCAGAUAGAAUAGAACCUAUAGGGUCACACACAUGAGAGGUAGUGAUUGAUCGGAUAGCUAGAUCGCGAUUAUUGAAUCGUCGGAGGACCUAAUUAUCAAUAUGUUGAUAAUUGGACUAAUUUAUAAUUAUUACAAAUUAGUGGUAUUAAAGUGUAAAUGUUACAAGAGAGGACUUACUGAUAGUUAGUAAAUUAUAAGAGGACUUAUGUGCAAAUGUUGCAUUAUUAAUUUGAUAUGAUCAAAUUAAUAUAAAGAUCGAAUCAAAUUAGGAUUUGAUCGAUCUAACCAAUUAAGGAAAGGAUAAAUUUAAUCUAGAUUUAUACUUAUCCUUAAUUGUCAUUAUAUUAUUAGGAAUAGGAUUAUAUUCCUAUAUAUAACAUACGGGAGUUUUUAGAAAACCCUAGCCGUUAUCUCUCUUCUCCUCUCUCUUCCAUAUUCUAGCAAGAACGACGUCCUUUGCAAGGGAGCUAGCACCCCGGUGAGGAUAUCGAUCAAAUCUUCAACCUCGUGUGGAUACCUAUAGAGGCCGGACGCGUGUGCGGCUUCAAGAGAACCCAAUUCCACGAUCAUCAAGUUGAGGUGAAAAUCUAUCCACGAAAAAGGUAAAGAUUCGAUCUUGUUUUUCUUCUUUAAUCGUAAAACAUGAGGGAUCCUGAUUGCGUGGUUUUUGAGAUUGGAUAUCGAGAGUUUUCAAAAAUCAAAUUUAUUUGAUUCUUUUUCCGCUGCGUUUUUUACCGUACGCAAUUUUCUAACAAUUUCGAGUGCCUAGAAAAUGGAAUCGAGAGCACAAAAUUGUAGUGCUGAAUUGUUAGUGUCGUUUAUGCUAUUGGAGUCAUUUCGGGCCCUUAUUCGGGCGCGUAGUUGUGAGUUGAAAUUUGCUUGGUGGGGCUACUUCGUGAUUAUCAACUGUUGUUGACACGAGGCAAGCGGAAGUUUUGGAUUCGGGGGCAGGAUAAGAUUUUGGUCCCUUUGCGGUGAACCCUGUUGUGGAUUCGGACAGAAUUUUUGGCAGAUUCAGGCGCCUAGAAGUUGGAUUAGGGCCCCCGAAUUUCAAAAUUUCUGCAGUGAUAGGUAUAGAUUCUAAUUUUCUUUGGGCUCAUUUAACCCCACCUAUACCCCUAUAAAAGUGUGUGAACGUUCUCUAUUGAUGGGUAUAGAUUCUAAUUUUCUUUAGGCUCAUUUAACCCACCUAUACCCCUAUAAAAGUGUGUGAACGUUCUCUAUUGACUCAUUUUCCUUCUCCUUCUCCUUCACCUGAAAACUCAUUCUACAACAUAUUAAUCUCACAAAAGCCUUCCAAAUCCUCUCUUCUCCCUACGGGCUAUCUAGAAUAGCGAGAACAGCAACAACAACAGCAACAACAGCAACAACUUGGGGAUUUUGGCAGAUUUGAGACUUCUAAUUUUUGCUAUGGGCUUGAUUCGGGGAUUUGAUAUUAGAGGACAGCUUAUGUAACGACCCGACCUGUCAGUAAUAAUAACUCGUUGGGCUAAAAAACACUAGCCCAAAAUACUUAAGCCAGUUAUUCUUACUACGGUAGAGUCUUUUAUAUACCUAAUAACAACCCAAUUCCCAUCUGAUGUGGGACUAUUGGGAUGUCACAAACUUCCCCGUUUAGGCCCUGACGUCCUUGUUAGCCCUAAACACACACACAGCCCAAGAUCACCGGACAAUGUGAGACUUUUCUUGCUAGUCUUCUCAUUCUUACCCUCACUUAGCCUGUCAUUCACCGACCCUAACUUAGUCUGUCAUUCUGACCCUGGCUCAACCAUGACUCAUCUCACACUUCCGGCUGGUGAACCGGCUCUGAUACCAAAUGUAACAAUCCGACCCGCAAGCAAUAAUAACUUGUUGAAUCAAAACCACCGGCUCAAAAUACUUAAGCUCAAUUAUUCUUACUAGAGUGGAGCCUCUUAUAUACCCAAUGAUAACUCCAUUCUUAUCCGAUGUGGAACUAUUAGGGUGUCACAGCUUGUGGGUCACCUCCUUCCAUUUAAUUACAAAUUAAUUGGUUUGGAAUUGAAGUUAGAAUAGCUUGUGGAUCACCUUCUUCCAUUUAAUUACAAAUUAGUUGGUUUGGAAUUGAAGUUUCUAUGAGGUUUGAACUGGAAUUGGAUUUUAGUCAAAUUUUUUUUAAUUUCUGGAUCCAAUUCUUUGUAGCUGGAUUAUUGCUGGAUUUUAGUUGCUUUUUCCUUCACUCCUAGCAGAUUUAGAUCUAUUCCUACUGGAUUUACAAGUUAGUAACUGAAUUCUUGACCUCAACUGAAGUAAUUUGUGAGUUUAGUGCUGAAUUCUCAAAUUCAUGUUUUGGGCCUCCUUUUUUGGAUCCAAAUCUUGCAGCUGAGGCUUUAGGGAGGGUUUGAUCAGUUUUUCUUAUAAAUCUUGGAGUAUUGGAGUUGUCCAUAACUGGUCGUAAGGUAGAUUGAUCUAAAUUUAGUCAAAAUUCAGCUUUUGUUCUAAAUUCCAGCAAUUUGAUGUUUUGGUAUAUUGAACAAGACUAGCUCUUUCCUGCUAUGUGUGGAGCCUUCGUAAUUGAUUUUCCAACUGGGAUUGUACUGAGGAGAGCUGUUUUUGGUGGUCGAACCCCUACCUUGGCUGGAUUAGCACAAAAGAUGUGUUUAAUUUACCAAAAUCGACGAAUUCCUUACUAUGUAUACUAAAAUUUUGCAUGCAUGUUGUCUAUUUAUCUAAGUUAAUUGUUCUAACUUAGAAUCACUGGAAUAACAUGUGGAAUGCUGAAAUCUGGACUUAGAACAUGUUAAACCUAUAUAUAGUGAUUUUAGAUGCUGAAAUUAGAUUGAAACAUUAAUAAAAUCUGCAUUAAUCUACCCCUGAUGCACUAUCAUUAGUAUUUAAAUAUGGUACCUGUUUUUACCUUUUUUUCACUCUAGUUAGAGGGUGGUGAGUAUUUGGAUUACUGUAGGAUAACUUUACGCUCGUGUUGAGGGGCCGAGUGGAUAUUUAUGAUAGUGUUUAGUCCGAGUUGUUCAGUAGAGUGCCGUUGGGGUCAACGGUCGUCCCAGAUCUUGGAAUUUUGCAUUGGAUUGUGCUUGGGCACAUGGGUUACAAUUUUAUGAUCUGAUUGAUCAUUCGCAUCGACUAUAGCCUGCAUGAACCAAAUUUAAGCUUUAUAGAGACUACACUUUUUGCUCAGCUUAGUAGCUCUCCCGAGUGCCGUUCUGGAGUGAGGCUUUAUGCAGUGGUGUUACAGCAGCCCUUUUGGGCGACCUACUUGGGUCGGCCACCCCGUGGGUGGUGUCAUGGUCAUAGUAUAGAGCAAACUUGACCAAACCUGGUAGGCAUUCAUUUGGAUAUGAUUUGGAUAGUGAUUAUUCGAUAGUUAGUUGGUGCAUAGCCAAAGGAAACUUAUCCUGUUCCUCGAUAUGCGGAUCACGGAACAGCUUCUCCAUGUGGGCAAUCCAGUGCUCGACUGCCAACUCUCGUCAUUCUUUCCAGCAAAUUUCGGCGGGUCGAACUUUUGAAACUCUGCCAAUUUCGUCCUAAUGCGGGCACCCUCCGCUACAGGGGCAUCAAUACCCCCGGGAGCCUCCAAAGUCUAGAAAAAAUUUUCUAUUCAAGAAACAAAAGUUACAUGGUUGGCAGAUGAAAUGUCUAGAGCUACUAGUUGGAGUUUGAAGGAUGAAAUGUCUAGAGCUACCAGUUAAAGUUUGGUAGUUUUUCAAUCUUUUCCAUUAUCAAAUUCUGUACACCAUAAUAUAGAAAGCCUUAGCAUAUAGUUAAUAAACUAAUAACGGCUCUAUAAUUACAACUUUAAAAGAAAUUAGAUAAUUAAGAGACUAACAACACAAUUAUAGAACGUUACAGAGGGAGCAAGUGAUGAGAAUUUUUGCCCUCACCAAAAGGACACUUCAAAAGCACACAUUUUUGCGCUAACUUGAUGCAAUAAAAGCACCAAGUGUUUAUAGAUAUUCCUAUGAAGAAUGCAUAUAUAGAUGGAGGCAUUGACAAGUGUUUAUUGUGGAGACUUGAUAGCACCCUCACCAGCCAAGGCCCAGUCCAUCACCAGCCCAAAUAACAGCUCAAGUAAAAACCUUUAAUUCAUAAAAUUUCACUAAAACCAUCAUAUGGUCUUUAAUAAUAUGUGAUCCUUACCUUUCUUAAUGAGAUGUCAUAAUAAACGAAGUUGGGCUUCAACUGGAAUAGUAAAAUGAUGACAAGCUUUUUUAUUUUUUCUUUUUGAAUCCGUAUCGGAAAUUUGCUUUUCCGAUACGGAUAUAGAAACUGAUGCUGAGAGGAUGACAACAAAGAUGCUAAUUGAGUAAAAAUUUUGUAAAUGACCAAUUACAAAGAAGCAUAACAUCCUUUAGAUCCUUCAAAAUAUGGCACACGAAAAUUACUAUACUAUAUUUACGUUCCAAAUGGGCGAUUUACCAUGUUCUAAAACAAAGCUAGCUCAAAUCUACUACAAUGUUAAUUAAUCUGUAUUAGCUAUACCAUUUUUAAAUCUUGAGCAACAUCGAGAUGCUGUGAAAUAUUUAAGCUUGUGGACGAUAUAUUUCGAUCUAUAGGUGUUUUGCGAAACUAUUUAAUACCGCAUCAUAUCCCAUGCAUUUUCUGUCAACCACUCUUGUGGCUACUUAGCUAUGCUUGAUUAAAAUCCUUUAUAUCAGUGCCCACUGUCGUAUACAAAUCAGUGCCCAUUUUCAAAGGAAUCGCUUCUUUAUCUUUUUUUUUGUCCCCAGGGAAACUUACUUCUCAAGCUUAUUAUCCUUUACACUGCCAUAAACUGGAGUAGAAAUGCAGUUAAUGUUGACUCAUCCCCUUCUCUCAAAAUACUCAUUCAUCUUUAGCACACUUCACAUUCAACUGCAGGUUUAUUAGUAGUGGGAAUUUAAGUUGCAUUUGCUAAUUAAAUGGUUUUGUUUAUAUUGAUCUUGUUAUUUUUCAAAAAAAAAAAUAUUGAGAUAAUAAGCAUGCAAACAAUUAAAUAGGUCCUUUUUUUCCAUGAAGACAUACACAGAAUUGACAUAAAUAUAUAACAGAACUAGAAAUUUUUAAAUGAUUAUAUAUCAAAUACAUAUCCUCCCCUCAUUUUGUUCCGUGCAAGGAAGAUCUGGAAAGUAUUUUUCUUGACAUGAAUUUUUUAUUUGUGCAACAACCAAUAAGAAAUUGUUCUGAAAGUUGAAUGUAGAUUUUCUCUCUGUAAAAGGAAACACAAGAAAAUGUAUAUAGGCUGAUCGAGCAGUAACAGCGAGUAACCAUGUAUAUGUCUUCAUUUCUGUAGAUACUUUAAGACCCCUGGGAUGUGGAUAUUGUAGAAAUAUUCCUUCCAGUCAAUAGAUUUGGGGUCAAAAUCAAAUCUUUGUGCUUCAAUCUUGUCCUUCAUCAUUUGCACCCUUAACCUUUCCAAGUUAGUGUCGUCAAAGCUUUAAAAGAAAAAAAAGAAAAGAAUUAGCACAAAUUAAUUCUACCUAUCUCCUUCAACGAACAUGCAUAAAAUAAAGAAUUAAUCAUGCAUGAAAUUAUAUGAAUUGCGCGCACACAUUAUAGAUAAAAAUGUCAAAUUGUCUUUCUUAUCUUACAAAACAUACAGCUGUGUGGAAGCUCUAUAGAGGUACAUUAUGUUAAAAUGAAAAGGCAUUUGAGAAUAGUAAAACUUAUAAUUAAUUAAUUGGAAUAAUGUGAGGGAAAUAUAUAUUAGUGCUUUGCUAACGGAGCUUUCUAGUUGAGACACUCAUAAAAUCGUAUAAACAUAAAGAAUUUGAAUCAUAUACCAUCCCUUGAAGAAGGCAUAAGGUGCAUAAAGGUCGACCAGGUGCAUAAUGAACUUGUACAUCCUGCUGAGCUCAUUGUAACGUUGCGCGAACAAUCCACAAAAUAUUAGAUUCAGCAUGUGCAGUACCUAAUGACGAGAAGAUGGAACCAUUAAGAAAAUAUAUAUCUGAUGGUCUAGCACUAUAAAUACUACUUGAUGGUGCCAUUAUUUGUAUUGAAAAUUAAAUGGAAUAAUUUGUGUUAAACUAUAACUAACUUGAAGUACUGUAGACAUGUAGUGUGCCAUAGCGUAUGUGGAGUGCAAACUAAUCUAAUAUAUGCAGAGUUUUUGAAAGAGAGUUAAGUGAUGACGACCUCCAACGGUAGCUUAUAUCUUAGGGUCAUAUACCCUUGAAAACUUCCCAAAGUUCUGAAGAUAGGAAGCCUCUUUGUUUUCGUGGGCUUUCCAUCUUUUCCAAUGCGAGGAUUCUCCAAGAAGUACUCGUACCCGCAUUGCUCCAGAAUAGAGUAUGACGCAGGAUUUCUCAUUGACGAGCCUACAUGGUAGAUGAAUUCAUCUUGCUGACUUGAAUGAGCCACUAUCGUUGAAAUCAUCGCAUUCACCACCAUGUCUCCAGGGAUCUGCAUUACAAAUUAAUCAGCCUUAAUUUGAAUGGGGUGCAGGCUGAGCUGAGCAAGAAUGAAAAUUCAUAACAAAUAGUAUGUGUUGCAUUUAAAUUAAUAUACUCGCUAAGUAUAUGCAUGGUUUAAAGCUUUGGGUUGAUCAUGGGAAGGAUUAAUUAGUGUUAAUUAGAGCAAAAAGCAUGCAUUAAUACGAAAGAAAAAUUUGCAACACUAAACAUGUAUAUUCCUUCCUUCUGAUUAAUUACUUACCACAUCCAUUGUAGAAUUAGGGUCUCCUAGGAAGCACGUGAGUUUUCCCUUGGCAUAACCAAUGAUGAAGGUGUCGAUAGUCCUACAAAAUCAUCUUCCCAAAUUUAGAUAAUUAUUUUCAGUAAUAAAAUUUUUGAAAAUGGGUGUACUUGUAUUGACCUGGUUCCUUCCAUCCACCCAGGCAAGGGCUCUUUGUAAAUGCUUGUUAUUAUAGAGGGCCGAAUGAUAACAAGAGGCAGAUCUUCUCUCAAAUGCCCAAGCAACAUCUCCCCCAUGGCCUUUGUAAACACAUAGGUGUUAGGCCACCCAAAAUUUCUAGCNACUAUCCUCUNNNNNNNNNNNNNNNNNNNNNNNNNNNNNNNNNGAAUUAGGCUGGAAUACUAUUGAUAGCAAAACGCUCUUUUUGCUAUCAAGUUUUUUAACCCUUGGAUGAGAAAUUGUAGGGUUAGGAAGAUAUUAGUCCGUUAGAGUUGAGUGGUCCCCCUAGGGUUGAGUGGUCUGGGUUAUAGUAUUUAAUCCAAUAGUUAGAAAUGAUGAAAAGAGUUGAUCCAAAGGCUAAAAAACUGGUAGCAACAAUGAAAUUUUGCUACUAAUAGUAGCCCAGUCCAACUCUAUAUAUAUAUAUAUAUAUANUUCUUCUCUAUAUUAUCGGUCGACUGGUCGAAGUCUAGUUCCCUCUUUCUUUCUUUAACCAAAUUUAGUUCUGCUUCAAUGUCUAAGUAUGAGUUUCCUUUUAGUGUCUCUCCCAUGCUAAACUGAUUCUCCAAUAUUAGUCCAUCGUUCUCGCCAGCCACAUAAGCUGAUGAUCAUUCAUUAGUCAAGAAUAACACGAGUAAUUUGGGCUUAAAACAUAAUAUGUGCUAAAUUAUUCCCAUAUCAAUAUUAUGAACGCAAAGUUUCUAUUGGCACUUAUCUCAUUGGUGUAUAUAUGCAAGAUAGUGUUAAUUAUUGUUCUCGAAGUAUUGAUGAGAAUUUGUAUGUAUCGGCUCCGUUAAAUAUGAUCUAAACCAUUUAAACUACCUAGAAAUCAAAUUUCACGCACUUUCGAUAUUGUUUUUUUAUCCAUCUAAUGAACAGAAAAAUGAAUGUCUGAAAAUGAAUAUUCUUUAAAAAAUGAUGAUAGGAGUCUUGUAAUCAAGAUCAAGAGUAUAGAUCUUGUUUUAAAUAGUUUAAAGAAUUUUCUAACAAAAAUUCAAUUGAUUUGGAUAUCUUUACACCGUUAAACGAGAAAACGUCUCUUAUCCACCAUUAAAAUUACAAAUUUUGAAACCUUUUGAUCAUUAGGCAAAUGAUGUCGAAAAGAUUUGAAAUUUGAUUUCUAAACACUGUAAGUGGUAUAGAUCAUGUUCAACGGAGCCGGUCGUCAAUUUGGAAGCUCUAUCAUCGAAAACAACUCGAUAGUAAAAUGCCCCGUUUACUAUCAAGAGUAUUCUAGCUCAACUCUAUAUAUAUAUAUAUAUAUAUAUAUAUAUAUUCAUCCCACUCAUCUGCAUGUAAUUUGAUUGUGGCAGUAGUAUGCUUACGAUUUUUCACACUACUUACCAGUGGAAACAUGGAGCAGCAUGUUGAGAUUAACGCAUUUCUUUGCAAACUCUAACACAUGUUUGGCUCCCAAGACAUUCACAUCCAAAGCCACAUCAUAUCUGCAAAAGAGUAUACAUGUUUUACGUGUUAAUUAACAACUGAAAACUUCGCUACUUUGCAUAGUAACAUUACGUGCAUCAAAUUUCAAAGAAAUUACAAAAACAAAACUUGCAUUGAGAAAAAACAUAUUAUAUAUGUGCUCGUAUAUUCAUAUUCAGUUGUAACCGAAAGCCUCUUAAUUAAUUUUGUUCGGCGGCUAGAAUAUACAUAGAAAGCUAGUACCUUUCAAAAAAGCCGGUUGUUGCAGCUACAUUGACAAUUAUGUUGAUUUUCUUCCAUAAGUGUUCUUUUAUAUCAGAGUCCUCUAUCCCAAGGUUUUCAUGAACAACAUCUCCCGCUACAGGAAUCAGCUUUUCUUCGAUGAAGGAAUGAAAUCCUUUGCCAUGUUUGUCUUUCAAAACCUGAAAUAUUUCCUUCCCUAUCACCUGGUAAAAUGAACAAGAAGCAUUAAAACUAUGUAGCUUUCACACUUGCAAAAUUAAUCCAAAAAAAUGCUAAGAGCAGGUUGUUAUUGUUACAUUACCUAAUAUAUUACUUAAAUCUAUACAUCGGGGAAUAAUGAUAGUAUAAGCAAGAAAGCUUAUUUGAAAGCAAUAGGGCUUUGAGCAUUGAUACUUGAUAGUUGAAACAAAAUAAAAUAAAAUCUAUGGCCUUUCAAGGACACAAUUAUGAGCAAGCCACUUUAUAUUUUAACUAUUGGAACUUGUUUGGACAUCAGAGUAAGUUAUGUAAGUAUAAUUUAUUUUGUAUAAGAAUUUUUUUUUUGUGAUUGCUAGUAAGGCCUCCUCGCAAAAAUCCAUGAUAUCCAUAGUUUAGUAGGGUAGCAUAUCUUUUCUAUAAGGUGAUUUAUUUUAUUCUAAAAAAAUAUGACGUCGAAUAUAGUAUUCAUUUUGGACAUUCGAUCACACUUCUCAUUUACAAAAUACUAAAUGGAAUGGCUACGUCGGAUAUGAUAUUCACGUAUCCAAACAGUACCUUGUUAUAAUCUUUUCUUGCUUGGACUUUCUUUUAACUACAGAUACAUGAUUUACUUAUUUUGCCUCCAUAUCCAAUAUCUCAAUGAUUGUGCUUUAUAGAUAUAAAAUUUUGAAUUAUGAUUUAAUUGAUAUUCAUUUAUAAUUAGAAAAACAACAUAAUAUAGAAAGUUUGCAUUGAUUUUUUAAAUUCAAGCCUAUCGAAAUUUUUUAGAUUCUCAAAUCGAAAAAGGAGUAUUGGGUAUUACACUAUCAUGAGUUUCAGGCACUUCACUAGGUAUAUAUAGAGAUUGACAACUACGAUGUUGAAUUGAAGAAGUCUAUCUAUGUUUGGAAGGUUGUUGGAUUUUGACUAUUGAUUAUGUGGAUGCUUGAUGUACUUAAAAAUAAUUUCUAAAUGCUAUACUAUUCUAUGUAUUUCAAACACUUUACAUGAUGUUUACAUCAACAAUUUGGAAGCCGUAUCAUCAAAAACUGCUGAGGGCUAAGACUUUGAUCUGUACACAUAAUAAUAUAUAUUAUCCUGAAAAAAUAUCAGUAAAUAUCAUUUAAUCAAACCUUAAUUUGCUGCAUCUAAAAUAUUUACAUUUUACCUUCCACUUUAAUAACACAGAGAAUAGUUGUUAUUCUCAAUAUGGUGCUAGUAUAGAGAGCCAAUUUUAGGCACUCUGUCUCCUAAGGAACUUAAGUUCAAGUGUGAGGCAUAGUAAGCAUUACUUAGGAGUGUAGACCUUCUUUUGCCACUUCUACUAAAAAUUAGAUCUCUCCUCAACCUCUAAUAGGGCAACUUGUUUGUUAUUUAGUAUAAAAUUUACAUCAUUAAUGUUUUUGGAUAUCCGGUAAUUAGCCUGGUUAAUUACUUAAAGAGCCUCCACUGCUUCCAAUCUAAGCAGUGACUCUACUCCUAUUUAUGCUGCGGUAUUCAACUAUAUCAACAUAUUAGAAUACUGAACCAAGUUAAUUUGAAACUGGCAAAAAGAAAAUAGGUUAACAAAAAGCCAUGUGUAUUCUGUGUGUAUGACGUAUUCCAGUUUCACUCUUUAAAGAGCUGCUUAACCAAACUGGACUGAUUUGGUGUAUGUAUGACGUACAUGUGUAUUCUGUAUUUACAUUUAUGUACGUACUCACGGUACGUCCUAUAUAUAUGUAUAUAUGUGUUAAACAAUUUCCAAUCUAUUGACGGCAAUUAAUAAGAUCGAUGUUGGCAUUAUAUAUUCUAAACUGUAAUUAAUAGGAAUAUAGUGACAAUAUUACUACACAUAUAUUUUACUUAUUUUCACUUGAUUUGUUGCUACGGCAGCUAUAUAUAUCAACUUUAUUUAAUUUCUAUUAAUAAGAUUGAUCUUGCAAAGUACACUAUUAAUGCUAUGUUAUCAAUUCUAAGACAAAAAAGUAGACUAAGUAUUGUUAUAUUAGUGUACAUAAUUAAUAGUGCGGAAAAAUUAGACAAUCCAGCAGAUACUUGAUAAGGAUCAAAUGUGUAAUCCAACUUUAUAAUAACGUAUUAAUUGGUUUAGACUGGCUUAGAACCAAAAUUAGCAAAAAAGGGGAUAACCGAACAAGCUUCAGAACCAUACAAGAACCCCCUACUUCUAUGUAGGAUAAUCCUUUCCUUUUUAUCUUUUUGCAUCUUUUUAUUAAUAGCGCUUUCAAUCUAUAUUUAUUUAGGUUUAUGACGUUUGCAAAUCGAGCUAAUUUUGAUCACUUGUACGAUAAGUAAAUCCUCAAACUUAUCUUACUUCCUGUCUCUGAAGUGUUUCAAAACUUUAGUAGAAUUGAAUGAUACAUAUACCAACCCACAAUGGUAAAUAAUGAGAUAUCACGAUCUUAGGCCCACCGUCUUGUAUAUAUUAUUGUUAAUUUGUGUUGGAGUAUAUACUACCAAGAUUUUGUGAAAGAGACUAAGUAAGAGGCUUUCUUGUUAGAGCAGUCAUAGAGCAUACACAAGUUAACUUGUUAAAAGUUCACACUUAAGAGGAAGAUAAAUAGAAAGAACAACAUUUAUCUGUUUUAAUUAACUCUUUUUUUUCUCUUUUUUUCUUUUCUUUUUUCUUUUUACAAGAGAGAGAGAGAGAGAGAGAGAGAGAUUGCACCUCGCUUUGAAUGCGCUGCUUAGGUGACGCAACAUUGGUGGCUCUCACAAGGAGGAAGAGCUUGUUAACAUUUGGUUCAACUCUAAGCAACUUCUCCACAAAUACUGCAUGCAUUCAACAGCAAAAAAUGAAGCUGAUUAAAUCUCCACAUGCAUGAACGCUCAGAACUGAAGUGAAAAAUUAUACAACAUAUAUAUGUUUGGAACAAAUGUAUAUAUAUAUAUAUAUAUAUAUGUAUGUAUAUAUGUAUAUAUAUAUAUAUAUAUAGUUGCAUCAGAAAAUUAACAAGAAUUAAAAAUCCUAAUCGACUCUACAUAAUUAUAUAAAUUAAGAUGCAUGCAUACUUGUUCCUAGAAAGCCAGUAGCGCCCGUAAUGAGGAUGUUCUUGUCCUUGAAAUAUCCUGCAAUUCUACUUGUUUCCAUGUCGAAGUCUACGGAGAGAAGGACGUGCAAAUUAGGAGAGAUGGAUUUUUGAGUUGUCUCAGAGAGAUCACUAUAUAAUUAAUGAACGAGUAAUGAUCGAACUUAAUAUGUUAUGCAUGCUGCUUAUAUAGAGGAUAAAAGAGUAGAAAUUAAGCUAGCUAGCUGCAGAAGAAAGCUAGCUGGAGUGUACGAAAGCGUGGAGACGUGGUGGUUCAAAACUUGUGCCAAGGAACAAAGCUAAAUAAAAAUUGGACGAGAAGCUUCACUAAUUAUAUAGUUUACUCUUUUUGUUUCUUUUUUUCUUUUUUUUUUCUCUCCUCCUAAUUAUUUUAGUCUCUCUAUCUCGUGCCUUAAUUAUUAUAUAAGUAAAUUAUAGAUAACCGGCCCCCACCGACUUUAAAUGCUACAAAUUAGCACGAAGAGCAAUACGCAAAUAAUUAAUUAAGCAGCAUGAAAUUAAUAGCCUUGUGAGAAGCAACAAAUUCAUAUAAUAAUAAUAAUAAUAAUACGUCAUAAUUAAUUAAUUAAUUGAGUUGCCAUUUAAUUAAUUUGGACGUAUUUUGGUCAAAUUCCGGCAAAAUCCGGUCAAAAUUAAUCAGCCGAUCGAUAUCUCUUUCUUGCUCUUUCGUCUUCUAAUUACUCAUCUCUCUAACUUUUGUUUGGAGUACUAUAUAUGACGUCGCGCGAGGUAAUCGAUCGAUCAAUCAAAAGGCAACUCUACCUCUACCUCAGAUACAUACUUCCAUUCUUUGGAGGUGAUUGGAUGGAAGUAGUUGAAAAUACAAUAGUACAGUUGGAAACACGCAUAGUUAUAAUUUUUAAUUAAGUUUAUAAAUCGACACAAUUUAAAAUUUUUAAUCUAUUACUUUAAUAGAUAAAGCAAACUUAACAUGUUCUGCCAUUCAUUCUUUCUUUAUCAAAUUGGAUAAUUGUAAUUUUUUUUUUCCUUGCAAAUCAACACAAUUUAAAAUUUUUAAUCUAUUACUUUAAUAAAUAAAGCUAACUUAAAAAUAUACUACAAAUCUUUCUUUUUUAUCAAAUUGGAAAAUAAUAAUAAAUUAAAAUUUAUUAAGUUAACAUACACAAUCAAAUUCUUUAAAAUUUACAAACAAGACUAUUUGUCGUCUUUUAAACGAAAGCAUUUUUUUUUAAUAGUUUAAUUUUACUUACAUAAAGCUUGUGCAACUCACGAAAUUUUAUUAUUUUUUAUAUAUUUAUAAAUACUUUCAUAUGUUUAUAAAUCUAUAUACAAAUACAUUUUGUUUUGUAUAUUAUUUGUUUAUAUAGUUAUCUAUUUAUUUAUUUACAUAUCUAUUCAUUUAUUAAUUCAUUUAUUUAUUUAUUUAGUAUUGCUAAUUAGUUGGGGAUUCGAUCCUUCACCAAUUACUGCAGUUAAAAUUGCAACCAAUUGGGGUGUAGUUCUAAUUAUAGCAUUUGGGUCUUCUCAUACAGUUGCAAAUGCAGCAACUAAGUUCAACUGCACCAAACCAAAUGCAUGAUUUGAAUCUACAUGCAUUUGCUACUGCAAUGUCUAUAUAUAUUGUAACGACUUCUAUUAUAAUUUUUAUUUUCAUACUUAUAUGUCUAUUUAUUUUUAAAGAAUGGAUUGGUAUUGAGAUAUAAUUAAAUUCUAAUUUUUCUAGGAGAAUGCAGUAAUUAUAUUUUAACUGAAUUACUACAACCUGUGUGAUUUUCUAAAACUAUAUACAGUGUAUUUCCGUUUCGCACAUUUUGGCCAUGAGUACCUACUCCCUUUAUGCAGAACCCCAAACAAAGACUUUCGGAAUGGGUAUAGAAAGUUAGAAUUUUGAUCUAUUACAUAAAUUUUAAACAUGUUCAAUUCACACAAUUUGACAAUAUUUUGACUAUUUGAUUGAAUAUAGAAAUUUUUAAAAAUAUAUAUAUAUAUAUAUAUAUAAUCUAAUUAAAUUUAAAGUUCAUUCCAAAAUGUGUUACAGUUCACCAAAAGUCUUUGCAUUUUUUACAUCCUAUACCAAAACUUUUUAUUAAGAGCAAGGACAGGUAUAUAUGUUACGUUACUUUUUCUCUCUUCUCUUCCUCAAAUUCUUUGCUUAGGUUUCUUCAUACAUGGAUCCAUCAAUCUGUCUCAUCUUUGUGUCAACGAAUCUCAUCUAACAGUUAGAACACUGGUGACAAAAUGUUGUUGGGGCUAGGGACGAGAACUUCUGUUGUUUAUUCCAACUGCAAAUAAAGUAACAUGUGUGUAUAUAUAUUGACGUUUCCGGCUGGGAUACUAUCGAUAGCACCAAGCAUUUGGUGCUAUCAAGUUUUUCGCCAUUUGAUUUAUCCUUUUGGCUAUUUUCUCCCAUUAAAUUAUACUAUUAAACCAAUAACUAAGGGCCCACAUCAUCCUAACCGUACAUUUUUUCAUUCAAGGGCUAAAAACCUAAUAGCACCAAAUGCUUAGUGCUAUUAAUAGGUAUCUUAUUCCCAAUUAAAAUUACAAAUUCUGUCUUUGGAAACCUUGUUUGAUCAUUUAGGCAAUGAUGUGAAAUUUGAAUUUUGAUUUCUAACACUGUAACGUGAUAUAGAUCAUGUUCCAACGGAGACCGCGUUCGUCAAUUGGGCAAGCCUAAUCAUCGAAAAAACGUCGAUCACUCAAUGCCCCGUUUACAUUAUCAAGAUAUUUUUAGCUCAACGUCUAUAUAUAUACUAUACUAUAUAUUUAUAUAUAUUAUCCCACUCAUUCUGCAUGUAAAUUGAAUUGUGGCAGGUAGUUAUGCUUACCUUAUUCUUUAACUACUAUCUUACCAGUGGGAACACAGUGGAAAGCAGCAUGUUGAGAUUAACGCAUUUCUUUAUGCCAAACUCUAACACAUGUUUGGCUCAAGACUUACAUCCACAGCCAAUAUAUCUGCAAAAAGUAUAAAUGUUUUACGUGUUAUUAACAAACUGAAAAACUUCGCCUACUUUUUGGCCAUAGUAACAUUACCGUCGCAUCAAUGUCAAAGAAAUGUACAAAAACAAGACUUGCAUUGAGCGAAAAAUACAUAAUUUUACAUGCUGCUGGUAUAUUCAUAUUCAGUGUGUACCGAAAGCUCUAUAAUUACAUUGUUGUUCGUGCGCGCUUAGGAAUGAUACAUAGAAAGCUGUACCUUUUCAACAAGCCGGUUGUGUUGCAGCUUACAUGACAAUUAUGUUGAUUUUCUUCCAUACAGUGUUCUUUUAUGAUCAGAGAUCCAUCUAUCCCAGGUUUUCCGAUGAACACAUCUCCGCUCAUGAAUCAGCUUUUUCUUCGAUGAAGGAAUGAAAUCCUUUGCCAUAGUUUGUCUUUCAAAACCUGAAAAUAUUUCCUUUACUAUCACGCUGGUUAAAUGAACAGAAGCAUUAAAAACUCUGUAGCUUUCCACCUUGCAAAAUUUAAUCCAAACAAAAUUUGCUAGAGAGGUUGUUAUUUCAUUACAGUUACUAAUUAUUACUUAAAUCUAUAAUCGGGAAUAAAUGAUAGUAUAAGCAGAAGCUUAUUGAAAGUCAAUAGGGCUUUUGGAGCAUUGAUACUUGAGUUAGCUUGAAACAAAAUAAAAUAAAAUCUGAUGUCCUUUCAAGUCCAAUUCUAUGUGCAAGCCACUUUAUAUUUUAACUAUUGGAACUUGUCUUGGACAUCAGAAAAUAAGUUAUGCUAAAGUAUAAUUUCCAUUAUGUAUAAUAAUUUUUUUUUGUGUAUUGCUGUUAAGCGAUUUUUUGUUUUUUUUUGGCCUCCCUGCACAAAAUCCAUGAUAUCCAUAGUUUAGUAGGGUAGCAUAUCUUUUAUUAGGUGAUUUUAUUUUAUCUUCAAAAAGUAUGACGAUCGAAUAUAGGUAAUUCUUUUGCACAUUCUAAACUUCUCAAUUUACAAAAUACUAAUGAAUGGCCUUACGGUCGGAUAUGAUAUUACAGUAUCAGAAAGUUACCUUGUUAUAGUCAUUUUCUGGCUUGGACUUUCUAGUUUAACUACAGAUACAUGAUUUACUUAUUUUGCGUCCAUAUCAAUAUCUCAUGAUUGUGCUUUAUAGAAUACUAAUUUGAUUAUGAUUAAUUGACCCUCAUUCAAUUAUAAUUCAGAAAAAACAACGAUAAAGUAUAGAAAGUUUGCAUUGAUUUUUUUUAAAUUUAAGCUAUCGAAAUUUUUUAGAUUCUCAAAUCGAAAAGGAGUAUUGAGGUAUUACAUAUCUUGAGUUUCGAGGCAUUUCACUAGGGGUAUAUAUGAGCAUUGACAACUAGCGAUCUUGAAUUGAAGAAGUUAUGUCUAUGUUUGGAGAGUUGUUGGAUUGGUUGAACUAUGAUUUAUUGUGGAAUGCUUUCGAUGUACUUAAAAAUUAAUUUCUAGAUGCUGAUAGCGUAUUGCUAUGUAUUUCAUAACCGACUUUUAUGUGUUUUAAUGCAACAAUUUGGAUCAAGGCGUAUCAUCAACAAACUGCUGGGGCUACAGCUUUUGAUUUCUGUACACAUAAUAAUAUAUAUUAUUCCUGAAAAUCAUCAGUAACAUAUGCAUUUAAUUCAAACCACCUUAAUUUGCUGCAUGGCUAAAAUAUUUACUUUACCUCCACUGUAAUAACACAGAGAAUAGAUUGUUAUUUCAAUAGGUGCUAGUAUAGAGAGCCAAUUUUGGCGACUCUGUUCUAACAAGGAACUUGAAGCUUCAAGUGUGAGGCAUGUAUAGCAUUAGCUUAGGAGUGUGAGACCUGUCGUUUUGCCACUUCUUGACUAAAAAAUUAGAUCUGUCCUUCAACCUUAAUAGGGCAAUUGUUUGCUUAUUUUAGGUCACUCACUAAAUUUUACAUCAGUUAAUGUGUUUUGGUAUAUCCGGUUAAUUAAGCCUGGUUAAUUACUCUAAAGGCGCUUCCACUGCUUCCAAUCUAAGCAGUGAAACUCUACUCCUAUUUAUGCCUGCGGUAUUCAACUUAUCAACAUAUAUUGAAUACUGAACCAACGGUAUAUUUGAAACUGGCAAGAAAGAAAAUAGCCGUUAACAAGAAGCAUGUGUAAUUCUGUGUGUCUGACGUAUUCCGUAUAUCACUCUUUAAGAAGCAUGCUUAACCAAACUGACACUGAUUUGGUUGUAUGUAUGAAGUACUAUGUGUAUUCUGUAUUUACAUAUGUACGUACUCAGGGUACGUCCUUAUAUAUUGUAUAUAUUGUUAAACAAUUUCAAUCUAUGACGGCAAUUAAUAAGAUCGAUGUUGGCAUCUAUAUAUUUAAACAUGUACCAUUAAUUAGGAGAUAUGAAGUGACACAUAUGUACGUCACACAUAUAUUUUACUUAUUUUUCACUUGUAUUUUUGUACUGGCAGCUAUAUUAUCAACUUAUUUAAUUUCAAUUAAUUAAGAUUGAUCUUGAAAGUAACAUUUAAUGCUAUGUUAGUUUCAAUUUCUGAAGACAAAAAAGUAGCUCCAGUAUGUUAUUUAGUGUACAGAAUAUAGUAUUCUGACGAAAAAUUAGAAUCCAGCAGAAUACUUGCAUUAAGGAUCAAAUGCCUCGUAAUCAAAUUUAUAAAUAACGUAUAAUGUGGUGUUUAGACUGGCUUUAGAACCAAAUUUAGACAAAAAUGCGAUACCGCAAGCUUCAGAACAUACAAGAACCCCUACUUCAAUGUAGGAAAUCCUUUCUUUUUAUCUUUUUGCAUCUUUUUAUUAAUAGCGCUUCUCAUGCUAUUAUUUAUUUACGGUUUAUUUGACGUGUGCAAUCGAUGCUAAUUUUAUCACUUGUACGAUAAAGUAAAUUCAAAUUAUCUUAUUCCUGUCUCUGAAGUGUUUCAGAAACUUUAGAAUAGAUUGAAGUUAUACAAUAUACCAACCCACAAAUGCGUAAAUAAUGAUGAAUAUCACGAUUUAGGCCCACGUCUUUGUAUAUUUAUUGUGUAAUUUUGUUGGAGAUAUACUACAAUAUUUUGUGAAAGAGACUAGUAAGAGGCUUUCUUGUUUAGAGCAGUCAUAGCAUGCAUUAAAAAGUUAACCUGUUUAAAAGUUACAUUAAGGAGGAAGAUAGAAUAGAAAGAAACACAUUUAUCUGAUUUUAACUUAACUCUUUUUUUCAUUUUUUUUCUUUCUUUUCUCUUUUUACAAGCGAGAGAGAGACGACGAGAGGAGAGAGAGAUUGCACCUCGCUUGAAUGCGCGCUUAGGUGACGCAACAUUGGUGUUCACAAGGAGGAAGAGCUUUGUACACUUGGUUCAACUCUAAGCAACAUUCUCACAAAUACUGAAUGCAAUUCAACAGCAAAAAAUGAAGCUGAUUAAAUCUCACAUGCAUGAAACGCUCAGAACUGAAGUGAAAGAAUUUAUAAAAUAUAUAUAUGUUGCGAACAAAUGAUAAUAGUUUAUAUAUUAUAUAUAUGUCUAGUACCUAUAUUGUAUAUAUAUAUAUAUUAUAGUUUGCAUCAGCAAUAAUUAACAGAAUUAAAAUCCUAUCGACUUACAUAAUUAUUAUAAGUUAAAGAUGAUGCAUUACUUGUGCCUAGAAAGCCAGUAGCUGCCCCGUUAAUGAGGAUGUUCUCUUGUACUUGGAAUUUUAUCUGCAAAUUCUGCUUGUUUUCCCAUGUCGAUAAGCUACGGGAGAGCAAGGAUCGUGCAAAUUAGGGAAGAUGGAUUUAUUGAAGUUGUCUCAGAGCAGAUCACUAUAUAAUUAAUGAACGCAAGUAAAUUGAUCGAACUUAAUGAUGUAUAUGCAUGCUGCUUAUUAUAGAGGGGGGGGGGGGGAGGGAGGCUGGAUAAAAGUAGAAAUUAUGCUAGCUCGUGCCAGAAGAAAGUAGCUGGAGUGGUUUUACGAAAGCGUGAGACGUGGCUGGUUCAAAUAUUGCAAGGCAACAAAAGCCUAAAUAAAAAAUUUGGACGAGUAAAGGAUCACUAUUAUUCGAAAAAUAAUAAAAUUUAUUUUCUAGGUACUCCAAAUACUCUAGAUCAAGUUUAACGGAGCCGAUCGACGAUUCGAAAGUCCCAACAUCGAAAACGAGCUGGAAGCACGGAAGGCUCCGUGCUUCCAAUAGCAUAGUAGCCUCAC
rnacentral:lncRNA from 1 species